rnacentral:lncRNA from 1 species
AUCUUAAUAAUAAAACUCUAGCAUGGAUAUGAUGAGUAGUUGCUCUGCCUAAUUUUCAAAUUUGAAGUUCUCUCUCUAGUUUAGACAUAACUGUUAUAAUUUAAAGCUUGCUCUAAAUCUGAACUUGUGGGAAGAAAACUUGAUCUGAAGUCUAAGUUGUUAAUGGAUAUGAUAUGGGAAGGUUGAGCUGCUGUUUAUCUGUUCCUAGAGAUGCUAGAAUUCUGGAGAAUUUUAUCUUUGAAAAUCUUUAAAAUAUCACAUGAUGAGUUCCUGUUUGAUGAGAGUUUAAAUUCCUACCACAGCCAUGUAUACAUGCUUGCUAGACUUUAAGCCACACAUUUAAUUUUUACUGCUUAUGAGCAUUGAGUGUGGUCAAGCUGUGUAGACCCUUAGGAGCUUGUCAUGUGGUUAAAUCAAGAUUCACUUGCACGUUCACUCACUUAUGCUGCUUCUACUCCGGAAGUACGCAUCCACAUAUAUCCACUCAUUACCAUCUCCAGAACCACUCAAAAAUAUUCUACUCCUAAUCCGGAAGAGAAUAGCCAAAAACAUUUCUGUUUUUCCCCUGUGAAAUAAAUGCUCAAGUUAUCUUGGUUACUACCACUUGCUAUAUUAUUUCAAGAGAUGAGUUCUCUAAAAAAAGAGAAAAGGAAAAAGAUACGAGGAAAUAAAAAGGGGCAAGUGCCCGGAACCUCGAAGAAAAGAAAAAGUGAGACGAGAGGUAAAAAUGGACAAGUGUCCGACAGUAGAAUUAGGGGUACAAGAUACCCACCUGAGAGGAAAGAAAAAGAAAAUAUAGAGCAUCUCAUUCUCCUCAAAAGUUUCAAAAGAGCAAGAAAGGUAUGUAUCCCCUCAAAAGAGCACAAGUAGAAUUAGACUUUCACCAUUGUUAUCACCAUCAUCACCAUACACCAUUCAUUCGCCACACAUGCACAUCUUGAUUUGACUUAUUGACUUGUUUCUUUGGAUCCAUGGUUUGACUAUACAAUAAAUGUCUUGUAAGUAUGUAUACUUUAUCUCCCACCUAUGAGCUCAAGAUAUCAAAGCCUUAUUAAAGUAGGGUGAGAGAGAAGGCAAUGUCACUAUGCCUUAAACCACAAAUACCACAUACUUUGAGAGAAGGCAUAUACCAUCAUUGCCUUGGUAAGGAUCUAGAAAUACCACAAAGGAGAGAUCUGAGAGAGUCAUACAAGGAAUCUCUGAGUUUUAUUUGAAAAUCUGCAAAAAAUUCCAAAGCUAUAGCUGAUCAAGAAUAAGAGACAUGGCACUUGACUAGACCGUUCUAUCUUUUAACUGCUCAAGACAGAAGUGACGGUUACAAGUCCCAUGGUAAAAGGUAAAGUAAGUAAGUUUUAAGUCUUGGCAGUUUACUCUCACUCAGAGAUGAAACCUUAUUUAAAAGCAUGUGUACCAUUAAUUUUUAAAAGGUAUUACAACAACUUCUGAUCCAUCACUGAGAUUAUCCUUGCUCAGGGACGAGCAAGAGGUAAGCUUGGGGGAGUUUGUUGACGGUCCUUAAGUAUCAAAUAUAAUCAACAAAUAAACAAAGAAAAGGAUCCAAAUGCAACCAACAUCCAGACUUAGGGUUUUAUCUGACAGAAUUCCAUGAGUUUUGGUGUUUGUCUAUUUCUGCAGGGGGUUAUGAGGAAUUAUGGAAGAAAGGUCCACACGUCAGGUUUACAUAGAGAUAUUAACGUACUGCGCAGUUAUCCUACAUCUAGAAGAGUCCAGAAGCCACGGGAACAAACGGGAGACCGGACGGGCUCGGGGGCAGGGCGCCCACCCUCCCCCCUUGGGCGCCCACCCUGGCCUCGGGGCCAAUCAGCUUCAAUCUCACGGAUCUUGCUCCACCGACCUAAAGGAUCAAGGAGAACCAUUCAAUCAAUGUCGGUUUGAUCCGACAGCCUAUAUUCACUUGGAAGGACUAUAUAAGCAGACCCCCUGGCCUCUGGAGGAGAGGACCUCAGACCCCUAAUUCAUUAUUCAUCUUGGGAGAAGAAGCCUCUGAUCAAGCCCUAGAGCCACCACAUCAAUUAGAUCUCUAGUUUAGCAUAGCUACAUAGGAUUAGAACUAGAAGGAGUCAAUCUUCGAUUGGUUUCCGGAUCUGUCAAGAGGAUUCUUGGUAAUUCCUCUACUGUUCUUCAAUUGUUCAUCUUUGUUCUUCAAUAUUAUGAAUAUGACUUUGUUCUACUUCAAUAUAUUGAUUAUGACUUUGCUCUACUUGUUUAUAUUCGCAAUUAUAUUGUUCUUAGUUUAUCAUAGUUAUAUGCUUGGCUUAGUUAGAUUAGAUUUAUAUACAUGUUUAGGAUCGUAUAGCAUUUAUCCAUGUGUACAGUGGGUAAAUGAUAAGUAUUGUGUAGGCGUGGUGCCUAUACUGUAUUUAUCUGCGAUUGUACCCUAUAUGCCAGAUCGCGAGGUAGUUCGUGGUAGUGACAGCUCCAUUGAUUCUUAUAUAGUCCCCCUCUCGUGUAUAGGGCUGGCAGAGCAACAUUAUGACAGGAGAGUGAUUGCGAUGUUUCUCAUAUUCCUUGAUAAUAUCACUAUGCAUGGGCGUAAUCCUGUCUCGCAAUGACUGCCAAGUAUAAUUGCACUAACUAUGAUAUGCUAGACUGUAUAGUUGAGAAUAACUUAGGAAAUAUUCUUGCAGUUCGUCCUAAUUCCAUGCUAAUGACUUUAUAGAAUAUCUAUUGAGUUGUUUAUCAUAUUUAUAUGUGGCUAAGUGAUGCUGAUCAGAUUAAUUAUCUUUGUCACCAUUCAUACUUUAUCUAUCCUUUAUGUGACAUUUAUCCCUGUAUGAAAGAGAUAGAUAAAUGCUCUCAAUUAUACAUGCAAUGAUAGAUACUCAAUUCUAUAUUCCAUUCUAUAAUCAACAUUGAUGUUUAGCAAUCCCUUCCCAGUGGUAAAAAUAUAAAUAACGGUACCUGGAAUACUUCCCGGUUAAAAUGCUACAUCGGUAUUAAUCUGUGCGCUUGCAGAUCUUAUUUAUUAUUUAUUCUGAAGAGAAAUUGCAUAUUUCAAUACCGCGUCUCUUAUGUCAUGCUGGGGAUGACAACUUGGCUUAAUUGGCAUGAGGGAUAGGUUUGGCAUUUUUGGCGCCAUUAUCAGAAUUAGAAAACUAAGUCUACUUUUGGUAGUGACGUUAAGAAUGCCCAACAAGCAUUUUUGGCGCCGUUGCCGGGGAAGGUUGAUUACUAACUAGGAAUGAAUAUGGAAUUUCGAGUCAUCAUUCACAUCACUAAUAUGAUUGAGAUUAUCAAUCCUCUCAUACAGUUUUACCCUGAUAUUUUUCUAUUUUAUCUUAUGCAGGGUAAUGUAUGAAUAGAAGACAUCUUCCAGGAAAUUUUGUUGACAAUCUCGAAGCGUUAUUCAGAAAAACAAGAGCCAAGAAUCCUCUUGAUAUAUCCGGAAACCAAUCGAAGAUUGACUCCUUAUAGUUCUAAUCCUAUGUAGCUAUGCUAAACUAGAGAUCUAGUUGAUGUGGUGGCUCUAGGGCUUGAUCAGAGACUUCUUCUCCUGAGAUGGAUGAAUGAAUUAGGGCUUCUGAGGUCCUCCUCUCCAGGGGCCAGGGGCCUGCUUAUAUAGUCCUUCCAAAUGAAUAUGAGCUGUCGGAUCAAACCGACCUUAAUCGCAUGGUUUUCUUUAAUCCCUUAGGUCGGUGGAGCAUGAUCCGCGAGGCGGAGCCUGAUUGGCUCUCAGGCCAGGGCGGGCGCCCUGCCCCCGGGCCCACUCGGCCUCCCGCUCGUUCCCGUGGCUUAUGGACUCUAAUAGAUGUUGGAUAAUUGCGCGGUACGUUAAUAUCUCUAUGUAAACCCGACGUGUGGCCCUUUCCUCCCUAUUUCCUGAUAACCCCCUGCAGAAAUAGACAAACACCAAAACUCGUGGAAUUCUAUUAGAUAAAACUCUAAGUCUUGGUGUUGGUUACAUUUGGAUCCUUUUCUCUAUUUAUUUGUUGAUUAUAUUUGAUACUUAAGGAUCGUCAACACAGAGCGUUCGGUGCCUGCGAUCAGAGCGUCCGGUGUGUGUUUUUCAGUGAGAAACACUCCGGCGACCUCUCCAAACUUUCCACCAAUGCAAUAGAAAAUAUGCAUUUCAAUUUCUCAAAAGCAUCAAAUUUUCAUUUCCACCGAACCCAAACCCCUCUCUACCCUUCAGACUCCACCUCAUUCUCAAAGUGUGCCAACAUCACCAUGUGUGUACCAACAUGUGCAAGUGUGUUAGCAUUUUCACAAACAUUUUAUUCGAAGGAUUUAAGUUAGCUCACUAGGUUCUAAAUGCAUGCACAUGAACAAUGACACCUAGUGGCACUUGAUAACCGUUUAGCCAAAGAAUUCCCCUCUUUAUAGUACAGCUAUCUAUCCUAAAUGUGAUCACACCCUCUAUAGUGUCUUGAUCACCAAAACUAAAACCCUAAGCAAUACCUUUGCCUUGAUCUCCAUAUGUUUUUGUUUUUCUCUUUCGUCAUCUUGUGGUCAUCACCAUCAUCACCAUGAUCAUCACUUGCUCCAUCACUUGGCAUGUAUCAACCUCAUUAAGUCUACACACACUUAGUAUAGAGGUUAGUACUAGGGUUUCAUCAAUUAUCCAAAACCAAACUACGGCUUUCACCUUCAACUCUACAUAGUCCAUUGUAGCCAAAGCCCAAGUUUGAUUUUGGUAAUUAAUGACACCAAAUUGCUAAUGCCAUUGUGUUAAAGUGGUUUGAGUUAGGCAUAACAACACAAGUGAUCAAGGAGCAAAGUUCCAUGGAGGUGUGACCACUUGAUCACAAAGAAAUGAAGCAUGUACAUGGAAAUGAAGAUCAUGUUAUUCAAGCACUUGGUGGUGCACAAGGAGUAAAGUGAUCAAGGCAAAGAUAUAAUCAUAAGGUUUUGCUUUUGCCGGUCCAAGAUGAGUAGAGAAGUGAUUGGCUAGAUUUAGGAUAGAUAGCCGACUAUCAAAAGGGAAAAUCAUAGUCAUCUCUUGAAUCAAGUGCUACUAGGUCAACAUCUUGAGUACUUGCGUUAGGAUCUAGUAAAUGCUAACAUAACUCCUUUGAAGAAAAUGAUCGUGAAAUUACUAAAAUGCAUGCACACAAUGGUUCACACAUGGUGGUGUUGCCACUUUUGCAAAGGAGGUGGAGUUUGAGGGGUAGAGAGGUGUUUGGGAUCCUCUCUCCCUCCCACCAAGCUUGUGAGGUGAUAUUCAAUGUUUUCAUGGAAAUGAAUUGCCUAUUUUCCAUUACACCAAAGACGAAGUUGAAGAGGAUGCGAAGUCACGUGGACGCUGGGUUAGACAGCGUAAGAUGUUGAGCCCAUGUCCGAUGAGUGCAGCGUAGUAAGACGCAAAUGGCCAUGCGCGUUGGAGCGUCUUACUCCUUGGCAUCGGUGCGUCAGAUACUCUGUUGACGGUCCUUAAUGCUCACAUUUAACCGUCAACUAAUCAUGGAAAAGGAUCCAAUACAACUGACACCCAGACUUAGGGUUUUAUCUGACAGAAUUCCACGAGUUUUGGUGUUUGUCUAUUUCUACAGGGGGUUAUCAGGAAAUACGGAGAAAAGGCCCACACGUCGGGUUUACAUAGAGAUAUUAACGUGCCGCGCAAUUUUCUAUCAUCUAGAGGACUCCAGAAGCCACGGGAACGAAGCGGAGGCAGAACGGGGCCUCGCCCAGGGCGCCCGCCCACCUUCUGUGCCCAAUCAGAGUCCUUUUCGGGAUCAUGCUCCACCGACCUAAGGGAUCAAGGAAAACCGUGCGAUUAAUGUUGGUUUGAUUCGACGGCCCAGUUUCAUCUUAAAAGAAUAUAUAAGCAAGGCCCCCUGGCCCCUGGAGGCAUACCUCUUCUACAGAAUCAAAGCUAAGGUUUCAAUUCUUCAUCCAAGUAGAGAGGAUCCCUCUGGUUCAUCUAGUUCUAGUUCUAGUUCUAGUUCUAGUUGUAGUUCCUCUAGUUCUAGUUCUAGUUAGUUCUAGUUGUAAUCUAGAAAAUAGAGAGAGAAGAGGAGAGCGGAGGAGGAGCCGAAUCUGUCCGAUCUUCCUCAACAUUAUACUUUUGCUGUAACUGGUUCGUUCUUCAUCGUUCUCCAAGUUCUUCAAUUCAUAAUUCCUGAGUUCUUUAAUUACUUUUAUUUACAUUCAAGUUAUUUAUUGGAUUCCCGCUUGCAUCAAGAGCUCUAGUAUUUAUAAUGCUAGAGUAGUAAUUAAUAGAUUAGACGUGGUGUUUAGUCUUGCAAUUACCUGAAAUUGCACCCAAUCCUGCGGAUUGUUGUGGUAGCCCUAGGGUAGUGACAACCCUAACGGUCGACGUAAUCCACCUCGUUCGGAUCGGUGUUUAUAGGACCGUAGUCAGAGCUUCCUAGCCCCCUUCUCAUCUCUUUCUGUGGUUAGUGUGCUGAUGUCCCGAAAUAAAUAAUCUUUGAAGUAAUUCUUGAUUCUUAGAUCAACUAGAGAACUCUCAGGAAACUUCCUCUCUUCCCUCCAAAAAUAAUUAUAUAGUUAUCCUUGGGCGAUCUUGAAUCUUAAUUAGUACACUCACGUUCUCUGUGGAAAAUCGAUACUCUGGAAUACUCCUGGGUGAAAGCUACAUCGGUAUCCGUGCGCUUGCGGAUUUUUCUGUUUGCGUUUAAAAUACCCAACAAGCUUUCUGGCGCCGUUGCCGGGGAACGGUAGCUGUGCUAGUUUCGAACCAAGUCGUCCGUGUAUCCUUUUCCUUUUCCUUUUUUUACCACAUUCACCUUACCAUUUUCACCACACCACAUGGAUUUCACUCCAAGCAUUAAUGAGCAUGGAAUUUAUUUCAUAGCCACUUCAUUUACUCCAUGCUCAUAUGUAAUAUCUUCACAAUCCAUUGGUCUCUCCAACAUCACCACAUUCGAGAUCUCCAACCCCCUUCUUCCUUUCUAUUUAUAAAAAGGGCAGUUGUUGAUGCAUAUGUCUAUAAUAAAUUCUGCAGAUCUCGUUGAGUUGAUCUUGGUAUAGGUCAGCAUUGGAGGGGAAACCACUUCGCAGACAUAAAUUGAUGGUUUUCCAAGGACAAGCUUAGUUUCCUAAAAUAAGCACUCAUCAGAUCAUAACAUGAGCUUUUAAUAUUUGCAACAUUACCUUGUGUGUUGAGCAUAUAAGGAUAGUUGUAAAAAAAUUCCUUCGGGUAUUCUUGUCACUAACCUUUCCAGGAUUGGAGCAAGAAGAUCAGAUGAAUGACAAGCACAAGGUAUGUCCAACCAAUCUUCAUACAACAUUGAAUUAAAUUCAUCCAAACUUGAAUUUUCCAAAAUUCAAGCUUGAGGGAGUACUUUACAUAAAAACAUCCUUUGUUAUGUUGCUAUGUUGGUUGUCCCUACCUUUGAGACAUGCUCAAUUUGUUAAAUACUAAUCACACUACAUCUCCACUUGAGUAAAACUCUAUAAAUGCUCUCAUGCUACCUUUAUUUGCUUUAGUAUAUGUCUAGGUUUGGAGUAGUUUCAUUUAUCUCUUAAUUAAGCAUGGUGCUUAGUUAGGAAUGUUGAUCUUACUUCCAAGGGAUUUUAAAUUAAGCAUGGUGCUUAGGUUAAAAUGUCCUCCUAAAUCAAAUUAGACAUGGUGUCUAGGUUGAUUUUUGAGCCGAUAGUAUGCCAUAGUAGAUAUGGGAUAUUCUGUUGGACUAACCCCUGCACGAAAACUUUCAAUAUUGACCUGGGAAGUCCUGAGAUAAACUAACAUUGGAGACAAAGAGAGACACAUGAAGUUUAACAAUUUACACAAGGAAGGCAUAGCUCACAAGAGAUGAUCCAUGGAGGGUGCCACAAACACGAUGCACAAUCGCUAAGAAAGGAAAGCGUCCACAAGGUGAUGCUGUACCAUCACUCUCCAAGUAAGGUAACAUCUUAAGGUACUUGACUAUCACAUUUAUAAGCUUUUCCUUGGUUCUAGCGUUCACAUGAAUAAAAGAGACAAACAUGUAUGAUUUACACCUCUAGAUUAACCAACCAAGUCGAUUCAAUAUGUUUAGUCCUUCCACCUUUGUGAUCCCACACUCCUAAUCAUAUGAGCUAAAAUGUUGCACACGCAAUCUUUGGAAGAUAUAUAUAAAAAACAUAAGUAUAGAUAGAUUAUCUUUCCAUUAGGUUGAGCGAUUUGAUCUGACAAAUGUUUUAAAUGCUACACUCAUGAUCUUAUUAUCCAUCAACUUUGCCUUGCUCACUAUGCUUAAGGUUAGAGAAGAACAAAUACACUUCUGGUUCUGUUGGUGUUUUCCACCAACAGGGCCCAUGCACUUGAUCUCUGCCUUGUCUCUAUGAGCAGGUACACUUCAAGCAAAAUAUGAAGGAUUUUUUACAACUCCUAGACUCCACCAAGUGAAGAACCUAGAUCUACGAGCACAAACACACUGGAGAUACUGGACACUCAGGCAAUCACUGCCCUGAGAUGCUUGACGACGUAAACUACACCAAAAAAACCAACUACUACUACUACAACCGUCCUCAACAAAAUCAAGAGAGGCGAUCCAGGAUGCCCUGUCAUCCCGAUCUCCAUCGGCAUGGUGGACUUCCCAGAAGUACUCUGCGACUUUGGCUCCAGCGUCAACAUUAUGCCCAGGGUACUCUAUGAAAAAUUCUUUACACAUCCUUUACGAGAAACAACCAUAUAUUUGCAGCUUGAAGAUCAGACACUAAGUUUCCCAAAGGGAAUAUUGAAGAACCUCUACGUCCGAGUUGGUACCUUAUACGCAACAGCAGACUUCGUGGUGAUAGAGACUGAUACUGAUGAGAGGGCACUCAUCAUCCUAGGGAGGCCAUUCCUGAACACCUCGGGAGCUGUCAUCUACGCUAGUACUGCCAAGAUCAGUUUCUACAUCAAGGAGAAGAAGGAGACGUUUUCCUUCGAGAACAAGAUUACACAAAUCUCAGAGCAAUCCCGACAUGAACCAAGGAAGAGGACCAACAGGAGGAACAGGAACAAGCAAAUGUGGACCGAGUCAGCUAAGAUGGUCACUGCAGUUCAACGAGGUCAAGAUCGUUGACUUGAGUCACCGUUCCUGACCAAAAAGGACGACCCAGGUAUGCCAAGCAUCCAGUGCUCCAUUAAUGGAUACAACUUCCAGAAGACGCUUUGCGAUACCGGGUCGGGCGUCAACAUAAUGGCCGCAGUCACCUAUCAGCUCCUGUUCAGAACCAUGCCUCUAAAACCGACAUACAUUCAGCUCCAGAUGGCAGAUUAGACAUUCCGAAAGGUUGAAGGUAUAGUAACUGAUGUCCCUGUCAAAAUAGAUGAUAAUUUUAUCUAUACAGAUUUUCAGGUUAUUGACAUGGGAGAAGACGAGUAAGAUCCACCCAUCAUCCUUGGGAGACCGUUCCUCAGCACCGUUAAAGUAAUCAUCUACAUUGGAACCGGAGAAGUCCACAUGCACUUCCCCUCUGAGAAGGUACGCCGCUAUUUUACUGACCCUAACUAUGUAGUUGAAGACUCUAAGCAGGUCAGGACAAGAAGAAGACGACGCAAUCGCAACCAGAGGAGGCAAAUCAUCAAGGACGGAUGGGCAGACUACGAAGGAGAACUGGUAAGGUCUGAAGACAUACAACUUGAACAGAACUGUCCUAAGGAGAUCGUAGCACCGAGUCAGGUGUGUAGAGAGAAGAUAGUUAUACAUGAAGAGCAGGCGCCGCCGGAACUACCGACUACGCCAUCCAGCGAAUCCCAGGACGAUUGAGAAAACGAAGAGUCCCGUUCGGAGGACUUAAAAACACCGAACGCCUUGCCAAGAGGUAAACUUGGUAGUUAUCCUUUUCCUUUGAAUUAUUUAAAAUAGUUUGCUUAAUUAAUCAGGUUCAUAUCAUCUUGAAAAGAAAAUAAAAAUGUUAAAAAUAGUAAGCCCCAUGUGAGUAUGCUCAUGGCAUAAAACCCAUAAGUACAUUCACUCUGGUGGCAUAAAAUAAAAUAAAUAUAUUUAUGUGCUAUAAAAAUAAAAAUAUAAAAAUAAAUUUAUGAUCCUACCAAAGAGUGUAACAUUUAUUGAGGAGGCUCAAUAUGAUAAAGGCUAGAUAUUUAUGCUAACACUUAACUAGUUCCACAAAGCUUUGUUGUCUAUUUGAGCUCCACAGAAUUCAAGGAUCAAAGAAGACUCGCAGACGGAGGACAUCCUAAUCGCUGUCAGGGUGCUGCCGACAUUCAAAAACACCUCUGCCACCUGCUAGCUACAUCAGGAGAAAUUACGUCAAAAUCCAGCUUGGGGGAGAGCAACCCACUUGUCCAGCUAAGUGUUUUACUCAUGUUUAUACUUUACUCAAAUAAUAAAAAGUUGCAUAAUCAUAAAAACCCAAAUAAAGAUUUUGUGCUUAUAUAUAUAUAUAUCUUUGCUUAUUUUGCUAAAUAAAUAAAUAAAUAAAAUUUGCUAUGAACCUUCGUGAUAAGCUCUCAUAUGGAAUUGAUGAAUAGUUGUUAUGCCAUGACAAGUUCUCAAAAUUGAAAUCUCUCUCAAGUUUAGGCAUGACUAUUAUUAAUUAAGAUUUGCUCUAAACCUAAACUUGUGGGAAGAGUACUUAUCUAAAGUCUAAGUUGUUAACGGAUAUGAUAUGGGAAGGUUGAGCUGCUGUUUAUCUGUUCCUAGAGAUGCUAGAAUUCUAGAGAAUUUUAUCUUUGAAAAUCUUUAAAAUAUCACAUGAUGAGUUCCUGUAUGAUGAGAGUUUAAAAUCCUACCAUAGCCAUAUACACAUGCUUAUUAGACUAUGAACCAUUCAUUUAGUUUACUGCUUAUGAGCAUUGAGUGUGGUCAAGCUGUGUAGACCCUUAGGAGCUUGUCAUGUGGUUAAAUCAAGAUUCACUUGCACGUUCACUCACACAUACUGCUUCUACUCCGGAAGUACGCAUCCACAUAUAUCCACCCAUUUCCAUCUCCAGAACCACCGAAAAAUAUUCUACUCUUAAUCCGGGAUAGAAUAGCCAAAAACAUUCUCCUAUUUCUGUUUUCCCCUGUGAAAUAAAUGCUCAAGUUAUUUCGGUUACUACUACUUGGUACAUUAUUUAAAGAGGUGAGUGCUCUAAAAAAAGAAGAUACGAGAAAAUAAAAAGGGGCAAGUGCCCGGAACCUCGAAAGAAAAGAAAAAGUGAGACGAGAGGUAAAAAUGGACAAGUGUCCGACACUAGAAUUAGGGGUACAAGAUACCCACCUGAGAGAAAAGAAAAAGAAAAUAUAGAGCAUCUCAUUCUCCUCAAAAGCCUCAAGUGCAAGGAAGGUAUGUACCCCCUCAAAAGAGCAAAAGUAGAAUUAGACUUCCACCAUUAUUUUCACCAUUAUCACCAUUCAUUAGCCACACAUGCACACCUUGAUUUGACUUAUUGACUCGUUCUUCUGGAUCCAUGGUUUGACUAUGCAAUAAAUGUCUUGUAAGUAUGUAUUAGCUGUCUCCCACCUAUGAGCUUCAGAUAUCAAAACCUUAUUAGAGUAGGGUGAGAGAGAAGGCAAUGCCAUUAUGCCUCAUACCAAAAAUACCACAUAGUUUGAGAGAAGGCAUACACCAUUACUGCCUUGGUAAGGAUCAGAAAUACCACAAAAGAGAGACUAGAGAGAAUCAUACAAGGAAUCUCUGAGUUUUAUUUGAAAAUCUGCAAAAACUCCAGAGCUAUAGUUAAUCGAAGAACAAGAGACAUGGCAUUUGACUAGACCGUUCUAUCUUUUAACUGCUCAAGACACAAGUAACGGUUGCAAGCUCCAUGGUGGAAGGAAAAAUGAGUAAGUUUAAAUCUUAACAGUUUACCCUAACCCAGAGAUGAGAUCUUGUUUGAACGCAUGUAUAUCUUUAAGGCAUGAAACCACUGCAGAAACUCUUAAGUUCAUCUUUGCUCAGGGACGAGCAAAGGUUAAGCUUGGGGGAGCUUGUUGACGGUCCUUAAUGCUCACAUUUAACCGUCAACCAAUCAUGGAAAAGGAUCCAAAUGCAACUGACACCCAGACUUAGGGUUUUAUGUGACAGAAUUCCACGAGUUUUAGUGUUUGUCUAUUUCUGCAGGGGGUUAUCAGGAAAUACGGAGGAAAGGCCCACACGUCGGGUUUACAUAGAGAUAUUAACGUGCCGCGCAAUUUUCUAUCAUCUAGAAGACUACAGAAGCCACGAGAACGAAGCGGAGGCAGAACGGGGCCUGGCCCAGGGCGCCCGCCCUAGAGACCAGGGUGCCCGCCCACCUUCUGUGCCCAAUCAGAGUCCUUUUCGGGGAUCAUGCUCCACCGACCUAAGGGAUCCAGGAAAACCGUGCGAUUAAUGUCGGUUUGAUCCGACGUCCCAGAUUCAUCUGAAAAGACUAUAUAAGCAAGGCCCCCUGGCCCCUGGAGGCAUACCUCUUCUACAGAAUCAAAGCUAGGGUUUCAAUUCUUCAUCCAAGUAGAGAGGAUCCCUCUGGUUCAUCUAGUUCUAGUUCCUCUAGUUCUAGUUCUAGUUGUAAUCUAGAAAAUAGGGAGAGAGAAGAGGAGAGCGGAGGAGGAGCCGGAUCUGUCGAAUCUUCCUCAACAUUAUACUUUUGCUGCAACUGGUUUGUUCUUCAUUGUUCUCCAAGUUCUUCAAUUCAUAAUUCCUAAGUUCCUUAAUUACUUUUAUUUACAUUCAAGUUAUUUAUUGGAUUCCCACUUGCAUCAAGUGCUCUAGUCUUUAUAACGCUAGAGUAGUAAUUAAUAGAUUAGAUGUGGUGUUUAGUCUUGCAAUUACCUGGAAUUGCACCCAAUCCUGCGGAUUGUUGUGGUAGCCCUAGGGUAGUGAUAGCCCUAACGGUCGACGUAUUCCACCUCGUUUGGAUCGGUGUUUAUAGGACCAUAGUCAGAGCUUCCUAGCCCCCUUCUCAUCUCUUUGUGUGGUUAGUGUUCUAAUGUCCCGAAAUAAAUAAUCUUUGAAGUAAUUCUUGAUUCCUAGAUCAACUAGAGAACUCUCAGGAAACUUCCUCUCUUCUCUCCAAAAAUAAUUAUAUAGUUAUCCUUGGGCGAUCUUGAAUCUUAGUUAGUACACUCACGUUCCCUAUGGAAAAUCGAUACUCUGGAAUACUCCUGGGUGAAAGCUACAUCGGUAUUCGUGCGCUUGCGGAUUUUUUUGUUUGCGUUUCAAAUACCCAACAUACUCGUGGGCACAGAGGCGCAUCUGAUGCCCUAGUGUCUAACACGUCAGGUGCAAGCUCUAGGGUUUGAGACCCUUAGCGUCCGGUGUAAGGAGAUGUGUGUGACACGUUUGAUGUGAGCUGCAGUUGUUCAUUAAGUUUUCCAGUGACCGUUGAAGAUCAACCGGUCACAUUCAAAGAGUGACACGUGGUAGAAAUCUAAUGUGCAAGGCAGACAAACAUUAGAUGCUAGGCUCCGUCUGAUGUGCAAGCAUUUGUGCGCGUCUGAUGCCCUCGUAUUUGCUCCUAAAGGCUAGCACAUGAGUGAAAUGUUAUAAAUAGAAGGUGGCUGAGUUUAGGGAGCUCUCUCUAGCCAAUAUGUAUACUCGAGGCAUACUUUGAGCUAGAGAAUAUCCUUUCCACUAAUCUCCUUGCUUGAUUGUUCACCCUAGUGAGAUUCAAAUGCAUCGCAUUGAGAAUUACAUCUAGCGGCACUUGGUCCUUGAGUUGGCUAUGAUUUUCUUGUUAUUCUUAGGUGUUUCUCGACACCCGAGAUGGCUUGGAGCAACGGUGGUGUUGAGCUCAUGAUUGAAGAAUAUUUUGAGCCUCACCAAGUGAUUUGUGAGGGGUUUUGAGCAUUCCUUGUGAGAGAUGACAAUUGGCUACUCUUGUGGAUUACUCAUGGCUUGGAGGAUCCCCAUCUUAUGAGUGGAUGUGUGGCACCCGCUGAGGGUUUGGCUUUGGAUUGCUAAUUAGCUCAUGAUCCAUCAAGUGGGUGUAUUGCCACAACGAGAACUAGCUUGCUGGGAAGCAAGUGAACCUUGGUAAAAAAUUAUAUGUCAUCUCUUGUCGAAGAUUUUGUUGACACCGUUUUUGGACACGUGCACGGGGACCAGUAGAGUACAGAUCGGCAGAUGGAGCAAUGGUAACUAGACUGCAGAAGAGUUGCCGAUGAAGAGGGUUGCCGAUUAAGAAGAUUGCCGAUGGCUCUGAAAGGGAGCGCGGAGGUUGCCGAUUGGCCCGUAGUGGUGUCCUGGUUGGUUAUAGGGGGAUAGUUUUACGUUUUCCUUAGUUAUUUAAAUUUGUUUUGUAUACGGAUUCUGUUUAAUUUGAAAUUCGAGUCCUAGUCAUGUCUGAUUGUAGCUCUUUGAGCAGGGUAUAAAUGUAGACCCUAGGGCCUUGUAAUGAACAUCUAUCAAUCAAUCAAACACAAGUUUUUACUCAUAUUCCAGCAUCUACUUUUUCGACGACUUCGUCAUAUUUUCCCUUUUUACUACGAGUUCUUAGGAAUUCGUUGACUUAAGCUCAGCGUAUUCUCGAGUUCCGCGUGAAUACCUCUUGGCUGUGACAUCCGGGCACAUCGCUGUUGUCAGGACUAAAGUAUUCGAGUUAUCACCUUUGCCGAUAGUAAGGUCAAAUCGGCUGGCAAGCCUUAACGUUUGAAUCGGGUAUUAGCUCUUUGUGUUUGCAGAUCCACUUUUGCAUCAACACAUCUUUUGGCAUGCCUAGUGGGACUCUAGAUUCAAGAUCAAGAUCAAUAUGUCGACUACCGAGUUCGAUAUGGAGAACGUCAUCCCGGUGACGGAAGCCAAUCUCAGAGAUGAGCAGAAGCAAACUAUUGCAAAAGCCAUGAAGGACUACAAGCAGCAAUGUUUGAAAUCCUUCAGCAUAAAUAGGAGCGGCGAGGUGAUCCAGAAGGAGGCACUGCCGGCACCUUGGCAGGUUACUUUUGACGCCAAUCCUCGUAAACUCCAAGACAUGGUUGACAGUGCUAUUAACCGUGCCUUGAUCAAUCAAGCUGGUGUAUUGUCCAAUACGGUUUUCAAUGCCGUGGCUAGAACUUUCAAAGAGGGACAAUUGCCACCAAAUUAUGUGGGCCCUUCUCAUCAUCAGCCAGGAUCACCGGUGGUCACAGCUCCAUCGGUUGCUGUAGGCGCUGUGGGCAUAGAAACUGCUAUUCCUCCAAGCACGUUGGGAGUUACUAAUACACAAUCCACACCGAUGCUAACCAAUCCAUCAACUUUAUAUGAGCAAAUCAAACUUGCUACAGAUCUAUUCGCAUCGGUGAUGUCGGGAUCGGUUCCUCCUCCUAACUGGUGGGGUCAUGGUAUGCCCCUAGGGUUGACAUUGAAGACACCUGGCGCAUCUCAGACGGCUGAUGUAAGAGGUAAGGCUCCUAUGGCAUCGACAGCUCCAAAUUUGCCGAUGAAUCAGAGUCUCCAGUAUACUACAACUACUACUGCAAGACCUUACACUGGGAAUUCUCAAGCUCCAACGUUCCAGAUGCCUAACGCAUCGACAGAUUCAAUGCCGACGCAGCAGAGGUUUAUGAUUCAGCCAGAGUAUGUCAACUCAAUGAUGAUGCCCAAUUACCAGUCAUCGGUAGGGUCUAUGCCGAUGAAUGUUAACAGUGGAUGGACAGGGCAGUGAGUCUUUCCACAGAUGCCUCAACAGAAUCAUCAGGCCACAGGGUUUCAGCAAGGCCAGAUCCAACCUAGGUUCCAAAAUCAAGGGUUGGUCAACCAGCCGAUGAAUCUUGGCCAGCAGAUUGGUGGUCAACAGAUCGGUGGUCAGCAGAUUGGUGGUCAACAGAUCGGUGGUCAGCAGGUUGGUGGUCAGAUGAUUAACCCAAUGUUCCAUGUAGACCGCACACCGUAUAGACACGUGGAAGCCUAUCAGCAGGUGCUAGAUCCGCAACCGCCUCAUCGGCAAGAUGUCGAUGCUUAUUGGGCCGAUAAGAUUACUGAAGUAAUGAGGGACCAAUUUGGGAUAAAGCCCAAAGUUAACACUUACUCUUAUCGGACACCGUAUCCUCCUGCAUACGAUUUAAUUCCACUUCCAAAUCGGUACAAGGUACCAGAUUUCACUAAGUUUUCUGGACAGGAUGAUACAUCAACCAUGGAACAUGUCAAUAGGUUCAUCAUCUAAUGUGGAGAAGCUGCUAACAGAGAUGAGUUAAGGGUUCGCUUGUUCUCAUCAUCUUUAUCUGGAUCGGCUUUCACCUGGUUUAUUUCAUUGCCUCCUAACUCAGUGAUUACUUGGGCCGAUCUAGAGAAGCAAUUCCACAAAUACUUCUUUUCUGGAGUUCAUGAGAAGAAGAUUACUGAUUUGGUUAAAUUGAAACAACGCAAUGAUGAAUCGGUUGAAAGUUUUGUGCAGAGAUUGCGGGAGGUCAAGAACAAAUGCUAUAGUCUGGUUUUGGACGAUCGGCAGCUAGCCGAUUUGGCUUUCCAGGGUUUGUUGCCACACGUCAGGGACAAGUAUGUCUCUCAAGAAUUCGAAAGCUUAAGUCAUUUGGUGCAGAGAAUUUCUGAUCAGGAUAUCAGACCUUUCGAGCCCAAGAGAGCAUGGAACAAAAAAGUGUCAUUUGUUGAUGAAGCAACAGAUUCAGAUUCUGAUGAGGAGCCAGUCAUCGGUUUGGCAGACUGGGUAAAAAACAAGAAGCCGAUGACUUGCCCUUUUGGGCAUAAAGAGCCGGAGAAGUUUGCAUUCGAUAUCACUAAAGCCGAUAGAAUAUUUGACUUUCUACUUCAGGAAGCCCAGAUCAAGUUGUCACCCAAUCACGUGAUUCCAUCGGCUGAGGAAUUGAAGAAAAUGAAAUAUUGCAAGUGGCAUAAUGCGACUUCUCACAGCACCAAUGAGUGCAAGGUUUUUAGGCAACAGCUGCAAUCGGCUAUAGAGUCUGGGAGAAUAAAGUUUGAUAGUUCUAAAGCUCAGAAGCCGAUGAAGAUUGAUCAACAUCCUUUCCCAACAAAUAUGUUGGAUGCUAAGGGAAAGACCAAGGUUUUAACAUCAGAAGCGGCUGAAAAGAGUGCAUCGGUAGAUCCUCAGCACCACAUUACUCCUACCGAUGCCAAAGGAAAAUGUCUGAUCCUAGAAGGAUCUAACUCGGGAAGGCCUCCCCGAUCCGGUAUUGUGAUAACUCAUAGAAGGCCUCGGGAGACUUGGCAGCAACGUGAAGAUCGGUAUCGGCGCUAGCAAGAAGAUUAUCAUCGGGAAGAAGAAAGACGCCGACGGGAGUGGAAUCGGCACAAGGAUCACUGGAACUACCCGUUCUUUAUCCAUUGCUGGGAGCAGAACAUUAAACUGCUCACUGUUAGGGAUUGCCCUGAAUGCAAUGGCUAUGAUCGGUAUGACAGGUCUUAUCGGCGCUACCACGAUGAUGAUCGGCGGUUUAAUGGGCCGAUUAGGGGGAGAGCGUCAGUUCAUGAUCGGCUUAGAGGCAGACUCAGUGUACACGACAGGCUUGGUGAUCGUGUUGCAUAUUUUCCCAGGAACCAAGAAGAGCUCGAAGAGAUGGCUAAUGCACAAGUUCCCGAUGAGUUCGUAUUUUGCAGGGAUGCCAAUACUCAUCGGAUGGAGCCAAGAGAACAUCGUCGUCCAUCGGCAAGGCAGUCACCAUUUCCCCCAUGGUGUCCAGAGGGAUUGACUAAGACACAGAAGAGGAGACUGCAGCAUGAGAGACGAGAAGAGCUAAGCAAGGGCGAAAACUCUGGACAGUCUGAUCAACAGCAGCCGGAUCCAAAGGGAAAGGGACCAUCGGCAGGUGUCAACAUGGUAUUUAUGUUGCCGAUGGAAUUCCUUGCGCCAUCCAGUGAUGACGAGGAGUUGGAGUUUUCCGACCAGAUAGCUCAGUUGGCUGUAGAUCCGAUGACACCUAUCUUUGAAAAGCCUACCGACAAUGAAAGGCAGCAUCUUAAAGCUCUAUUUGUCAAAGGAAGAGUUGAUGGUCAGCCGAUGACCAAGAUAUUAAUUGAUGGAGGAGCUGCUAUCAACAUCAUGCCAUACGCAGUUUAUCGGAAGCUUGGAAAAGGGGAUCAAGAUUUGACCAAGACCGAUAUGAUGCUGAAGGACUUUGAAGGGAAUGUAUCUCCGGUUAAGGGGGCUGUUGAUGCAAAACUGAUCUGCAAACACAAAGGGCUAAUACCCGAUUCAAAUGUUAAGGCGUGCCAGCCGAUUUGACCUUACUAUCGGCAAAGGUGAUAACUCGAAUACUUUAGUCCUGACAACAGCGAUGCGCCCGAAUGUCACCGCUAAGAGGUACUCACGCGGAACUCGAGAACACGCCGAGCUUAAGUCGACGAAUUCCUAAGAACUCGUAAUAAAAGGAAAAAGUAUGACGAAGUCGUCGAAAAGUAGAUGCUGGAAUAUGAGUAAAAACGUGUGUUUGAUUGAUUUCUUGAUUGAUGAUCUAUUACAAGGCCCUAGGGUCUACAUUUAUACCCUGCUCAAAGAGCUACAACCAGACAUGAUUAGAAUUCGAAUUCCAAAUUACACGGAAUCCGUAUACAAAACGAUGCAAAUAAUUAAGGAAAUAACAAAACUAUCCCUCAUGACAAACCAAAACUCCUCCACAUAACGACCGGCAGCUUCCGGACUCCCUCUUUGCAUCAUCGGCAGACCCUUUGCCAUAGUCAUCGGCAGACUUUCUUAUCUAGCCAUCGGCACCAUAUUACUGCCUGUGGACUUAAUCACGUUCAACCUCUCCCUCAUCGGCAACCAUCCUCAUCGGCAACCCACUUUGUAAACAUCGUACUGCCACCUUAUCCUGCCAUCCCAGACACGUGCCCAAAAACGGUGUCAACACAUGCCCCCCAGUUUCGGAGUAUAAAACUAUUAAUGCUCCGAAAUUCUCUGCAGUAAUGAUGCCUUUUCCCGCAAUUAAUGCUCCUAAUCUGGUAACCAACAACCUCAAUCUGAACAACUCUGAUCCUAUUCCUCCGCAGAUUUCUCGAAAUCCCCAACUUUCUAAACGGGCAUUUUUCUCAGCCGUACAUCGGCAACAAUACCGUUACAAAGAUCUGCCGAUGUUCUGACCAGGAUAUUCGCACAAACGGUUACUUCCCCUCUAUCCGCCCAUCGGCAAUAUGACCGUUGUAGAAUAUUGCCGAUGGACCGACCAGGAGAUCUCGCACAGUAAAAUAUCUUCAGAUAAUGACCGCUUCCUGUCAAAUCACCUGCACAAUCCCUAGAUUACCGUGCGAAUAGUUACCAUAUCCACCUGAGUACCCUCGGAUUUCUCGGAUGCGGCAAAGAGAUAAGUCGGAUUUGCCCUUGCCCAUUUUGUCCUAUAAAUAGUUCCUUCUCGGGUACUCCUUCCCCAUCACACCAUUCUACUACCCAACUUUACUUUUCCAGCGGCGGCGCCACCAAAAACUCCCAAGGUCUCCGACAAGUACCCCUCUUCACCAAUUCCGGCGCCUUCAAACGCUUCCUUCGCAGCAAGAUGGCCGUCGGGUUCGUCGUCCCUGAGGUCAAAUCUCCACCCCGUCUUCUGUAUUUUUCUUCAUAUCCCUAUUCACUCGCAAUCCAUUUUACUGAACAUCUUCCUUUUCUUUCCUCUUUGUAUUUCUUUUUACGCCCAAAAUCACUAGGAAUUGUCCAACAAAAUUGUCAUCCCCACCGAUCAACCACACCUUCAAUGCCUCGGCCCUCUAGGGGACCCAGAUCCAACUGACCUUAUCAACGCAGAAACCAACAGGAUCCCCUUCAGAGCCGAAAAUUUUUCCUUAGAUCUGUGGAAGGACACCUUCCGCUCUUGGCCCAGCCCAACUGUAGGGUGGAAAGACUGGUUCUUGAGGGUCAGCAACUCUAAUGAAGUUCAGUGGGGUGAAAGGAAUCUAGCCCAAUGCAUCAGAUUGUCCAUUGCCGAUAUGCAUAGAAACGAGUCACUGCUGAUAGCUGCAUCCUACUUUUGGUCAGACACCCUCAAUGCUUUUGCCUUUGGCCACGGCCCUGCUUCUCCUACUCUUGCCGAUGUAGCCAUGCUUACUGGUCUAGAUAUAUCUUCUACCGAUAGCACCCACUUUUUUGAUACUGCCCCUAGUGCCAAAGUGGAGACCCGCGCUAUCGGCGAUUGGUCGGGGUACAUUCAGAAGUACCGUGGGAAAGGAUCUGUCACCAUAAAGGAACAAACCACCUUUCUGAACAUGUGGCUGGACAAGUUUGUAUUCUGUGGUCGAUCGGCAGGACCGACUUCUGUCUACCUAUCGGCAGCAGAAAGACUGGCUAACGGUGGCCGAUUCCCUCUCGGCCGAUACUUGCUUGGCGCUGCUUACCACCUUCUCCAUCAAGUAGCCCAGAAACUUCUGCUCGGCCAAUCCACUGGCAAUUUGGGAGGCCCCUGGUGGUUUGUCAACAUGUGGCUCAAUCUGCAUCUGCACAAGCGUCUCAACUUCAACCUGUUCACACAGCGUUUCCCAAGAGAUAUAGCUGAAAACCAUGUAUUGGGUGAAGAGGAAUCGGCAACACGCGCCCCCUUGUACUUUGGCAAAGCUGUCAUAGUUCUGCCUGGUUCAGGGGGUAAUCCAGAUCAGAUCGGCCGAUUCUUCCAGACUCUGUAUGAGGGUUUGACCAGAGACGAACGACCAUGGUUGGCUUAUGAUGACCCAGAUAGCAUGCUCCCUCUGACCUUCAAUCCAUUUGAUGAAGCUCUCGACAGGGACAAUGAGGUGAUGAUGGCAAUUGUGACUCCCAGAAUCAUUCCAGUGAAUUUCUUUGGUAGCACAAAAACCUCCCCUCAAACUUACGAAUUUUACAAUCCAUCGGCAUUAGCUCGCCAGCUAGCUUUCGGCCAGUUGCCGAUUGCACUUCCUUAUGCCGAUGUGAUAAAACCCAGAGAAACUAUCAACAACCUUCUUGAGUGGACUCGAGCAGCCCAACUACCACCAAACGCCGAUAUAGAUGUAGAUCUGUCAGAAUGGGUCCCGGCUGCUUUUAUCACUCAGGCAUACAAGUUAUGGUGGGCAGAAUGGAAAGAGCAUCUGUUCUGUAGAUCGGCACUUUCAUUCCGCGGCAUGAUUGACUCCGAAUACGAAGUUCCUGAUGACACUGUAAGUAACUCAAACCAACGUUUCAUUUUCUCAAUAUUACCUCCAUUGGCAGCUUACCCUUGUAUUCCUUUUGCAGGUUGAUAAUAUUCCUCCGUUGGUUAGCAGGAGUGGCAGGCCGAUCGACUUGUUUCCAUCAGGCCCGAUUUCCUCAAUCGGCCACAAUGCUCCCACUCUAGCUUCCAUCGUGCAUCGGGGUGUACGUCUCAGGAAAGUCACCACCAGAAGAACCCAGACAUCACCAACGGUAGCUGCUCCCACUCUCGCGCGGGCUUUCAAGGCAAUUUGUCAAAUCUUUUCCUUUAUGCUGACCAUCUUUAUAUCGGCUAUAUUUAUGCUUAUAAACUCUUGUUCAUUAUUGCAGCAAACCGGCGCAUCGGCGAAAACCAGGCGUGAGAGUACCGAUGCCCCCAGUCUAGCCAACCCAAGAGAAAGGGCACCACGGGUGCUAAGACUGGAACAAAGCGCCAGAAGGUAGCAAUCCCCCCUCCUCCUCCGGUAUCUCCAAUUCCGGUGGAAUCUUCUCCUUCUUCUCCAGAAGCCCAGCCACAACAAGCACCAUCUCCCCCACCUAUGCGGGAAGCACCACAGAUAGAAGAACCCCAACAGGAAGGAUCUCAAACAGAAGAUACAUCAGUUGACAUGGGUGAACAAACAACUGGCCCGGUGGGUCUAGUUAUACCAUCGGCAGUUCUCCCGGUUCAAACAACCGUUGUCCCUCCUCCAGGUAACAUACUUUAACAAUAUCGCUACCGAUGAACUUAUUCUUAUUUAGUCUCAUAACUCCUUUUGUCUUCUUUCAGUUGAUAUUGUUCCAUCGGCAAUCUCAGCCGAUCAACCUGUAGCUCCAUCGGCAUCUUUGGCCGAUCAGCCUGCAGCUCCAUCAGCACUUCUCAGUCACAGACAAGAGAUCGCCUUGAAGCAAGUAAGUCACCGUUUACCGUUAGCACUAUUUGCCGAUUUUCUAAGUAUGAGCUAAUUUUGCUUUCCCUCCCAGGAACAAGAUUCUCCCGAUAGCCUGUUCUCCUUCGCCAUCAAUUUCUCUGAAGAAGAAGGUGAAGAAGCAAGCACUUCUUAGACGGUCGGCAUCACAUCGGCAGAGGUCAGGGUCAGGCUGGAAGAAUUGUCAGCUCUCCUUCACCAGGACACAGCGCAAUUGGUUGAUGACUCCGACCCUACCAAGACCCUGUUCAGAACUCUCAGAGGCCAAAUCCCAGCCGAUGUUGAAGAAAUCCUGUUCCAAGCCGCUCAUCUGGAGAGUCGCCAGCUGCAGUACCAAAGAGCUUCUCGGCGGCUUGCCGAUAGAGCCGCUCAGACUCAACUCUACGAUGAAAUGAGGAAAGAGAAGCUUUUGACCGAUGAGAAGCACAAGAACAUCGGUAUCCUGAGAUCUUCUGGAGACGCGCUGAAGCAGAAGAUAUCCGAUCUAUCGGCAAGAAAAGAGUCUCUGUUGGCGGAGCUCAAGGAAGUAGAGAACGCUCUGUCCCAAGCCCAACAGGAAGAGAGCCAAUUGCCAGAGACCAUCAGGCUUCUUGAGCGCGAGCGAAAUGCUCAUGGUCGCAAAGCACUCCAACUGAAGAAGAAGCUGAAGCCGAUAGAAGGUUCUGCCGAUGAUGACAUCAAGGAGAUAGAAGCAGCCAACCAAAUUCGGCUACGCGCUAUAUCGGCAAUCCAGACGCUGCUUAACACAUAGAGUUUCCAUCGGCAUUGUAUCCUCAGCUUUUAGUCUAGCCAAUAGGACUGUUAUCGGCGCCUAAACUUUUGAAACACCAAGUCUCGUCCCUAAGCAUUUGGAUCCAGCCGAUAGGAGUGUUAUCGGCACCUAAACUUCUAUGCAUCGACCCAUAUACUGGGGUAGUACUUCUUUAAAUAUUUGCCGUUUAAUGCUCUGGGAAAUUCAAUUCCUUCGAGGGUUUCUAGAAUGUAGGCAUUACCAGGAGCCGAUCGACUUAUCCGAUAAGGACCCUCCCAAUUAGGAGACCACUUUCCAAACUUCGAACUUUUGGUCCCAAUUGGUAAAAUUACUUUCCAUACCAAAUCCCCAUCGGCAAACUCUUUAGCCUUCACUUUCUUAUCAUACCAUCUAGCAACUCUCUUCUUAUUUUCUUCUAUACUCAUUAAAGCUUUUAACCGAUGCCCUGCUAGAUCAUCCAAUUCAUCGGUCAUCAAAGUGGCAUAAUCGUCGGAAGUUAAUUGAUCUUGAAAAGAUAAUCGCCUAGAUCCAGCCUUAAUUUCCCAAGGCAACACUGCAUCAUGUCCAUACACCAAUUGAUAGGGUGAUACCUUGGUCGAUCCAUGACAAGCCAUCCGAUAAGACCAUAAUGCUUCAUUUAAUAAUGUAUGCCACCGCCUAGGAUUUUCUUCAAUCUUUCGUUUAAUAAGCUUGAUAAUUCCUUUGUUAGACGCUUCGGCCUGCCCAUUGGCUUGAGCGUAAUAAGGAGAAGAAUUCAACACUUUAAUUCCCAUACCGAUUGCGAAUUCAUCGAACUCCCCCGAUGUGAACAUGGUGCCCUGAUCGGUAGUAAUCGUUUGGGGAAUCCCAAAUCGGUAAACAAUAUGCUCCUUCACAAAAUCAAUCAUAUUUGCCGAUGUGACUUUCUUCAAAGGAAUAGCUUCAACCCACUUAGUGAAAUAGUCAGUGGCAACUAGAAUGAACUUAUGCCCUUUGCUAGAUGGUGGAUAAAUCUGGCCGAUCAGAUCGAUGGCCCAUCCCCGGAACGGCCAAGGCUUUAUUAUAGGAUUCAUAGCCGAUGCGGGUGCUCUCUGGAUAUUACCAAACUUUUGACAACCUUGACAUCCCUUGAAAUAUUUAAAACAAUCUUCAAGUAUGGUCGGCCAAAAAUAUCCAUUCCUUCGAAUCAUCCACUUCAUCUUAAAAGCUGACUGAUGCGCUCCACACACUCCUUCAUGGAUUAACCCCAUCAAACCUCUAGCUUCAUCAUCACCCAAGCAUCGGAGAAGAAUUCCGUCGAUAGUUCGAUAAUACAAUUCAUUUUCAAGGAGCACAUACUUGGUUGCUUGAAAUCGAACCCGUCUUUCAACUUUUUUGGAUGGAUCUGUUAGAUAAUCAAUAAUUUCUUUCCUCCAAUCACCGGCACCGACUGCCGAUGUCGCAUUAAUCAUUGGCUGAUAUCCCGAGGCAUGCUGAGCUAACCGAUUAGCGUCUUCAUUAUGCAAUCGGGGAACAUGCUCCUAUCGGAAAUCCUUGAAUUCCUUUAACAGUUGCAUACUUCUCUCGAAAUAAGUUAUGAGAACUUCACUUCGGCAUUCAUAGCUUCCGGGCAAUUGAUUUAUAACCAACAUAGAAUCCCCGAAUAUUUCAACAGCAUCAGCAUGAACUUCUCUUAACAACUCCAAUCCCUUGAUCAGAGCUUGAUACUCAGCCUGAUUAUUUGUUGAUGUGGCAACAAUCGGCAAGGAAAACUCAUACUUCCUCCCCUUAGGGGAAACUAAUACAAUGCCGAUUCCUGCCCCCCGGUCACAGGUAGAUCCAUCAAAGAAGAGCGUCCAGGGUACAAUUUCCAAGGUUUCCACUAGACCGCAAUGCUGAGUCACAAAAUCGGCCAUAAUCUGCCCUUUGACUGCCUUAGCCGAUUCGUAACGCAAAUCGAACUCCGACAGCGCUAAAAUCCAUUUACCGAUCCUACCACUCAUAAUCGGCAUAGAUAGCAUGUAUCGGACCACGUCAUCUUUGCAAACAACAGUGCAUUCGGCCGAUAACAGGUAAUGUCUCAGCUUGAUACAUGAAAAAUAUAAGCAUAAGCAUAGUUUCUCAAUGGCCGAAUACCUGGUUUCAGCAUCACUCAACCUCCUACUCAAAUAAUAAAUUACCCUUUCUUUCCCUUCAAAUUCUUGAACUAAAGCUGAACCGAUAACCGAUCCAUCGGUAGAUAAAUACAAUCUGAAGGGCUUCCCUUGUUGAGGUGGAACUAGAACUGGAGGAUUUACUAGAUACUUCUUGAUUUCAUCCAGAGCCAACUGCUGUUCUUCUCCCCAAAUAAACUCUUGAUCGGCUUUCAAUUUAAGAAGAGGACUGAAAGCACGAAUCCUACCAGAUAAAUUCGAUAUAAAUCUCCUGAUAAAAUUUACCUUGCCGAUCAAGGAUUGGAGCUCGGUUUUGUUGGUAGGGGCCACUAUUUUAUUGAUGGCAUCAAUAGAUCUUCGACUAAUUUCAAUACCCCUCUGAUGUACCAUGAAACCAAGAAACUGCCUUGCCGAUACACCAAAUGCACACUUGUUGGGAUUCAUCUUCAAUCCAUGCUUCCUUGUGCACUCUAACACUUUUUGUAAAUCGGCAAGAUGCUUUGAGAAAUCUCCAGACUUAACCACCACAUCAUCAAUAUAAAUCUCCACGAGCUUGCCGAUGAACUCAUGAAAUAUAAAAUUCAUAGCCCUUUGAUAAGUAGCACCAGCAUUCUUCAACCCAAAAGUCAUGACUAUCCACUCAAAUAGCCCAACAUGACCAGGACACCUGAAUGCGGUUUUUGGAAUAUCCUCCUCCGCCAUGAAUAUUUGAUUGUAACCUGCAUUACCAUCCAUGAAGCUGAUGACCUGAUGACCAGCCGCAGCAUCAACCAGUAGAUCGGCGACAGGCAUUGGGUAUCCAUCCAUCGGCGUAGCUUUAUUGAGAUUCCUGAAAUCAAUGCACACCCGAAGCUUCCCGUUCUUCUUGUAAACCGGAACAACAUUGGCAAUCCACUCGGCAUACCGACACUGCCGAAUAAACUUAGCUUCAAUAAGUUUGGUGAUUUCGGCCUUAAUAUCAGGUAGAAUGUUAGGAUUACAUCGGCGGGCUGGUUGCUGAUGUGGCCGAAAUCCAGACUUGAUGGGUAACCGAUGUUCAACAAUUGAUCGGUCUAAACCAGGCAUCUCAGUAUAAUCCCAAGCAAAGCAAUCUUUAUAUUCCUUUAACAAACUAGUCAAUUGUUGCUUACUCUCAGGAUCUAAUUUAGCACUAAUAAAAGUAGGCCUAGGCUUAUCACCACUACCUAUAUCUACUUCUACCAAAUCAUCGGCCGAUGUGAAUCCCUGGCCUAAUUUUCCAUCAUCGGCGAAUCUAUCCAUUAAAAACCGUCAUCAGAACCGACUGCUUGGAUCGGUGGAAUCUCAUAAUCGGCAACUUUGAGAAAAUCUUUCUCCCAAACUUCUCCUGAAAUGCACCUGGUCCUUUCGUAAGUAUCCGCUUCUGCCGACGCGAUAACAUAAGAAGAAUCUCCUGGGACAAUCUCAAUCUUGUCACCUACCCACUGAACCAAGCAUUGAUGCAUUGUAGAUGGGAUACAACAAUUGGCAUGAAUCCAAUCUCUUCCCAAUAAUAAGAUGUAAGCACCUUUUCCGCUGAUCACGAAAAAAGUUGUCGGCAAGGUUUUGCUGCCGAUGGUCAACUCUGCACAUAUCGCCCCCUUGACUGGAGACACGUUUCCUUCAAAGUCUUUGAGCAUCAUAUCGGUCUUGGUCAAAUCUUGAUCCCCUUUCCCCAGCUUCCGAUAUACUGCAUACGGCAUAAUAUUAAUGGCAGCUCCACCAUCAACUAGGAUCUUGGUCAUUGGCUGCCCAUCAACCCUUCCUUUGAGGAACAGAGCUUUAAGAUGCUGCCUCUCGUCAUCGGCAGGUUUCUCAAAGAUAGCCAUCAUCGGAUCCAGAGCCAACUGAGCUAUCUGAUCAGAAAAUUCCAACUCAUCGUCACUGGCUGGUGCAAGAAACUCCAUCGGCAACAUGAAGACCAUGUUGACGCCUACCGAUGGACCUUCCCUCUUAGUGUCUGACGGCUGCCGACUUCCAGAGUUCUCUCCCUUGUUUAGCUCUUCUUGCCUUUCACGUUGCAAUCUCCUUUUCUGUGUCUUGGUUAACCCUCCAGGGCACCAUGGAGGAAGUGGCCUUUGCCUUGCCGUCGGGCGCCGGUUCUCCCUUGACUCCAUACGAUGCGUGUUAGCAUCCCUGCAAAAUAUGAAUUCAUCGGGAACCCGCGCAUCAGCCAUUCCCUCGAGCUCUUCUUGGUUCCUGGGAAAAUACUGGACACGGUCACUAAGUCUGUCGUGCCCGCUAUAUCUGCCCCCCAGCCGGUCAUGAACUGACACCCUUCCUCUGAUCGGCCCAUUAAAUCGCCGUUCAUCAUUAUGAUAAUGCCGAUCGAUCCUAUCGUACCGAUCAUAACCGUUGCACUCAGGGCAGUCUCUGACAGUAGGAAGCUUGAUAUUCUCCUCCCAACAAUGGAUGAAGAAUGGACAAUUCCAAUGAUCCCUGUGCCGAUUCCACUCCUGUCGGCGUCUUUCUUCUUCCCGUCGAUAAUCUUCCUGCUGGCGCCGAUACCAAUCUUCCCGUUGUUGCCAUUUUUCUCGAGGCCUUCUAUGAGUUAUGACGAUACCAGAUCGAGGAAGCCUUCCUGAGCUAGUUCCUUCCUGGACCAAGCCCUUACUUCUUGCAUCGGCAGUAGUAACUUGAUGCUGGGGAUCUACCGAUGCACUCUUCUCAGCUGUCUCCGAUGUUAAGACCUUAGCCUUCCCCUUAGCAUCCAACAUGUUUGUCGGGAAAGGAUGUUGGUCUAUCUUCAUCGGCUUCUAGGCUUUGGAACUGUCAAACUUGAUUCUCCCUGACUCUAUAGCCGAUUGCAGCUGCUGUCUGAAUACUUUGCACUCGUUGGUGUCAUGGGAAGUUGCAUUAUGCCACUUGCAAUAUCUCAUCCUCUUCAACUCUUCUGCCGAUGGGAUCACAUGGUUAGGUGACAGUUUGAUCUGACCUUCCUGAAGUAGAAAGUCAAAUAUCCUAUCGGCCUUAGCGGUGUCAAAAGCAAACUUCUCUGGUUCCUUCUGCCCAAAAGGACAAGACAUCGGCUUCUUGUUUUUUACCCAUUCUGCCAAACCGAUUACUGGUUCUUCAUCAGAAUCUGAGCUUGUUGCUUCAUCGACAAAUGACACUUUCUUAUUCCAUGCUCUCUUAGGCUCAAAAGGCUUGAUGUCUUGAUCAGAAAUCCUCUGCACCAAAUGACUUAAACUUUCGAACUCCUGAGAGGCAUACUUAUCCCUGAUAUGUGGCAACAAACCCUGGAAAGCCAAAUCGGCUAGCUGCCGAUCAUCCAGAACCAGGCUAUAGCAUUUAUUCUUGACCUCUCGUAUCCUCUGCACAAAUCCCUCAACCGACUCAUCAUUACGUUGCCUCAACUUGACCAAGUCGGUGAUCUUCUUCUCAUGAACCCCCGAGAAGAAGUAUUUGUGGAAUUGCUUCUCUAGAUCGGCCCAAGUAAUUACUGAGUUGGGAGGUAACGAUAUGAACCAAGUAAAGGCCGAUCCAGACAAUGAUGAUGAAAAUAGACGAACCCUCAAUUCGUCCCUGUUACUGGUCUCUCCACAUUGAAUAAUGAACCUGUUGACAUGCUCCAUGGUUGACGUGUCGUCCUGUCCGGAAAACUUUGUAAAAUCCGGUACCUUGUACCGAUGUGGAAGCGGGAUCAAAUCAUACGCGGGAGGAUACGGUGUCCGAUAAGAAUAAGUGUUGACUUUGGGUUUUAUCCCAAAUUGUUCCCUCAUUACUUCAGCAAUCUUAUCGGCCCAAUAUGCAUCGGCAUCUUGCCGAUGAGGCGGCUGCGGAUCUGGCACUUGGUGGCGAACCUCCACGUGUCUGUUCGGGACGUGAUCUGCACGGAACAUUGUAUUGAUCAUCUGUCCUCCAACCUGCGGACCACCAAACUGCUGUCCACCGAUUGGCUGUCCUCCGAGUUGCUGUCCAAAAUUCAUUGGCUGGUUGGGAAUCCCCUGACCUUGGAACCCGGGAUAGACCUGCCCUUGCUGGAACCCUGUAGUCUGGUAACUCUGCUGGGGCAAUUGUGGAAAGGCUUGCUGUCCAAGCCAUCCAUUAUUAGCGUUCAUCGGCAUAGGUGCUGCCGAUGAUUGGUAAUUGGGUACCGUCGUUGAAUUGACAUACCCCGACUGGGCCAUAGGCCUCUGUUGCAUCAGCAUUGACUCUGCCGAUGCGUUGGGCAUCUGGAACAUUGAAUCUUGAGGAUUUCCAGUGUGAGGCCUCGCAGUAGUAGUUGUGGUAUACCGAGGACUCUGGUUCACCGGCGCAUUGGGAGGUGCCGAUGUCAUAGGAGUUUUGCCCCUCAUGUCAGUUAUUUGUGAUGUUCCCGGCGUCAACUCUGGAGGCAUACCGUAACCCCACCAGUUGGGAGGAAGCGUCAACCCUGACAUUGCCAAUGCCAACAUAUCUGUUGUCAGUUUAUGCUGCCCAACUGAAAUUUGUGGGUUGGUUGCCAUCGGCAUAGAUAGUGCACCAGUAGUCCCCGAUGUACUUGGAGGGACGGCAGAUUGUGCACUUGCAUUCGUCAAGGCAGCCGAUGGAGCCGUGACCUCUGGCGCCGUUGGCUGAUGAUGGGAGGGGCCCACAUAAUCUGGUGGGAUUUGUCCUUCCUUGAAAGUUCUUGCCACGGCAUUGAAAACCGUAUUAGACAGUACACCAGCUUGGUUAAUCAACGCUCGAUUGAUGGCAUUGUCAACCAUAUCUUGAAGCUUGCCAGGAUUGGCGUCAAAGGUAACCUACCGUGGUGCCGGCAGUGCAUCUUUCUGGACCACUUCGCCGCUCCUGUUUAUGCUGAAAGACCUCAGGCAUUGCUGCUUGAACUCUUCCAUGGCUUGGGCAAUAGCUUGCUUCUGCUCAUCCUUGAGGUUGGCCUCCGUCACGGGGAUGACGUUCUCUUGAUCGAGGUCAGAGAUCGACAUGUUGAUCUUGAUCUUGAAUCUGGUCCCACUGGGCGUGCCAAAAGAUGUGUUGAUGCAAAACUGAUCUGCAAACACAAAGGGCUAAUACCCGAUUCAAACGUUAAGGCGUGCCAGCCGAUUUGACCUUACUAUCGGCAAAGGUGAUAACUCGAAUACUUUAGUCCUGACAACAGCGAUGCGCCCGGAUGUCACGGCUAAGAGGUACUCACGCGGAACUCGAGAACACGCCGAGCUUAAGUCGACGAAUUCCUAAGAACUCGUAAUAAAAGGAAAAAGUAUGACGAAGUCGUCGAAAAGUAGAUGCUGGAAUAUGAGUAAAAACGUGUGUUUGAUUGAUUUCUUGAUUGAUGAUCUAUUACAAGGCCCUAGGGUCUACAUUUAUACCCUGCUCAAAGAGCUACAACCAGACACGAUUAGAAUUCGAAUUCCAAAUUACACGGAAUCCGUAUACAAAACGAUGCAAAUAAUUAAGGAAAUAACAAAACUAUCCCUCAUGACAAACCAAAACUCCUCCACAUAACGACCGGCAGCUUCCGGACUCCCUCUUUGCAUCAUCGGCAGACCCUUUGCCAUAGUCAUCGGCAGACUUUCUUAUCUAGCCAUCGGCACCAUAUUACUGCCUGUGGACUUAAUCACGUUCAACCUCUCCCUCAUCGGUAACCAUCCUCAUCGGCAACCCACUUUGUAAACAUCGUACUGCCACCUUAUCCUGCCAUCCCAGACACGUGCCCAAAAACGGUGUCAACAGGGGCAAUAUGCGUCGAGUUGACCAUCGGCAGCAAAACCUUGCCGACAACCUUCUUUGUGAUCAGUGGAAAGGGUGCUUAUAAUUUGCUGCUAGGGAGAGAUUGGAUUCAUGCCAAUUGCUGCAUCCCGUCUACAAUGCACCAAUGCUUGGUUCAGUGGGUAGGUGACAAGAUUGAGAUUGUCCCGGGAGAUUCUUCUUAUGUCAUUGCAUCGGCAGAGGCGGACACUUAUGAAAGGACUAGGUGCAUCUCGGGAGAGAUUUGGGAGAAGGAUUUCCUCAAAGUUGCCAAUUAUGAAAUUCCACCGAUCCAAGCAGUCAGUUCUGAUGAAGAGUUUUGAUGGAUAGGUUCGCCAAUGAUGGAAAAUUAGGCCAAGGAUUCACAUCGGCCGAUGAUUUGAUAGAAGUAGAUAUAGGUAGUGGUGAUAAACCUAGACCUACUUUUAUUAGUGCUAAGUUAAAUUCUCAGUGUAAGCAGCAGUUAACCGAUUUGUUGAAGGAAUAUAAAGAUUGCUUUGCUUGGGAUUAUACCGAGAUGCCUGGUUUAGACCGAUCAAUUGUUGAACAUCGGUAACCCAUCAAGUCUGGAUUUCGGCCACAUCAGCAGCCAGCUCGCCGAUGUAAUCCUAAUAUUCUUCCUGACAUUAAGGCUGUCGACGAAAGCUAGUCGGCAGUCUACCUUGGGGUAUACCCACGGUAGUAGUUUAUCGGUAGACGGUGCGCAAACUACGAACUCGAUGGUGACGCAAGACACGGACAAGCUUUUUAUCCAGGUUCGGCCGCCGAGUUGGCGUAAUACCUACGUCCUGCGUCUGGUUGUAUUGAUUUGUGUUGAGAGAAUAUGAUGUGUCCUAGGGGGGUCCCUUGCCCCUCCUUAUAUAUUCUGGAGGGCAGGGUUACAGAUCUGGAAACUAAUCCUAGUCGGUUACAAUUGCCAUGGAUAAUUCGAUAUCAAUUCCUAUUCUAACCGACUAGAAUCCUGCUUGAUCUCCACAUCUUGUUUCCUUGCGCGAAACUCCAGGUUGUCGGAUCAAGCCUUGAACUCGUCUCGUAAUGGGCCAAGCCUCCUGGCCGAAGUCUAGCCGUAAGGGUAUAGGGGUUUAUACCCCCACAGCUAGUCCCCGAGCACCAUGUAUUGUGAUGUAACACGCCGUCUUGAGCUUCUUCGGUCAGUGAGACUUGACAUCUUCAAUAAGUGGGAAAGUCGCCCAAACAGUUGCAACGGUUCUUUGACCAACUCAAAAGACAGUUGAUCAACAUUGACAUCGAAGAAGCGAGUUGUUCGAAGAAUGCAUGGUGCUCUAAAUUAAAAAAGAUUUCUUUCCUGGUGAAGUGUGCCCACUUUACUUUUUUGAAAGGUAUAAACAUCAAAAAAGCAAGCAUAUUCACCGCAAGGUGAAGUGUGCCCACUUAGUCCCCGAGCCUGGUAGUAGGUGACGUAGGCACGUGGUGCCAGGGUCAAAAUAAAAGUCCUCAAAGAAAUUCUGUAACUGAGAUGCAUCGCCAGAUGCAUCGUACCGAUGUAGUCCCCGAGCUUGCUGGAAGGCAAAGUAUGAGCCUUGUAGCAAGGUCUAAAAAAUUGAAUUUACCAGUCCGUCUGCAAUUGAAUAGACUAAUCGACCAGUCCCCAGGUGUAUAAUAGUAUGACGACCAGUCCCCAAGCACCAAGUGCGCUCCUUAGAAUUCUGCGUUGCUAUACUGUACGACCAGUCCCCGAGCAUCGAGUUCUCGGUGGUCGGUGCAGUCUUUGAAGUUUCGAGCUGAUAGACUGGGCGACCAGUCCCCGAGCGUCGAGUGCUCGGUGGUCGGUGCAGUCCUUGAAGUUCCGAACUGAUAGACUGGGCGACCAGUCCCCGAGCGUCGAGUGCUCGAUGGUCGGUGCAGUCCUCGGACUGUUGACUCUCUGGCAUAUUUGUCUUCUUUUUAUUGAAACGAUCUUUUCAGUUAAAGUUGACAUGACGAGACCUCCUGAUGGGUUGUCAGAUGGACGCAUGAAAAGUUGCGCCUGGCAACUGUACAGCCGCCCUUUGCGUGGUUUGAGAAAAAGGGAACCAUCAAUUGGUACGAAAACUCCGCCGCAUUAAUUGUCUAUAAUCAUUAUAAACCGAAACGCCGCAUCCGCCGCAUGGCCCGCCCACUUCCCGAGAAUACGGGAAGUGGGAGAGGUGGAGUUGCGGGUUAUAAAAGCCUGACAGUUCCGCCUGUGCUCCUUACCCUGCCAUUGCCCUCAAGCCUUCCAUUUUCGCCUCCUUCAAUCACCUGCAUCUUCGUAACCCAAAUCCACUUCUCACCUCCAAUGGCGAAGAGCAACGCCAAGAAGAGGGCUGAACUGAUGGCCAAGGAGUGGAAGAAGUCCCGCAGCACCACCAAAUCCCUUGGUGACCUCGUCGACAUGGGACUCCUGCACAGCUCGGAGCUCGGCGGCUGGAGAGCACCGGAAGGAGAAAGCUUCCCCGACCCUCGUGCCGGUGAGAUCGUCGUGUUUGAAGAUUUCGUUAAGAGGGGCUUUGGGGUUCCGGUUCAUCCUUUUCUCCAAGGUCUUCUUCUGUAUUAUGAGAUCGGGAUUUGCAAUCUGCACCCGAACUCAAUUCUCCUUAUUUCCACGUUUAUUCAUCUGUGCGAGGCCUAUGUUGGCAUAGAGCCGCACUUCGAUCUUUUUCGUUACCUUUUCUGCUUGAGGAAGAAGGGAGCAGUUGGAGGCUCCAAGGUUGCAGGUGGAGUGUACCUCAACCUUCGUGAUGGAAUGAAGAAUCACUACCUGCACUGUCCAUGGAACACUUCCUUGACCGAAUGGUAUAGGAAGUGGUUCUACGUCAGGGAGGAACCGGGCAGCUCCACGUUCUGCGACGUGGGGUACAUUCCCGAGAAGAGGGUAAGCUGGACCGACCGCCCGGAGUUCGACGGUCAAGUGGCGGAUCUGAUGAAGCUGAUCGACUGGUCGCGCCUGGAUGGGCUUGGCGUGGUCGGCAACUUCAUUUGUCGUCGGGUGAUGCCCUGCCAGAAGAGGGUGCACUCGGCGUACGAGUAUUCCGAAAGCGUGGACCCGACCAGGAUGCGACCGGAGAUCUUGGAGAAGGCGGAGGUACAACGGCUGUUGAACGAGCUGUUCAACUUUGCGGACGGAGGCUUCAUCCGCGGCAGUGAUCGGGUGCAAGCCUUCAAGUUAGGCCGACCAGCACCAAAGGUAUGUUGCAGAGUAUUUUGUUUUAGCAUUCGUAUAUCGUCUGUAGCUGACUCAUCUUUGUUGCUUUUGCAGAUCGGCGAUGUCGACCGGUGCACAGUGUAUGUAUCACUGGCACCGGGGAUGGAGGAUCCUGCGGGAGAAGACUUGCCAGAAGGCAAUACUGCUAGGUGUACUCGUUACACCAGCAGUGAGGAGGAACAAACCCGCCCCGUCCCGACCACCGAGGAGAGGGUAGCGGGGAAAAGGCCAUUGCCGGCAGAUCCCUUGCCGACACAGAUGUUGCCGGCAGGUCUACAUGCGGAGAGCAGCCAAGCGCCGAAGCGUUGUCGGCUCGUGCGGAUCGUUGACGACGACGACGACGACGAGGAGGCUGCGCCGUCGUUAGUCCGACGGCCUCGGAGCCGCCCAGAUAAUGCGCCGGCCGCUACUGAUCGAGUGGCCAGCGACCCCCCUGCACCGCAAGUUGUCGAGAUGGGGGCGCAGGUGCCGACCGGCCGGGCGAGGAUGAGGUUCACCGCGACCCACCGUCGAUCAGACCUGUAAGUGUUUGACUUACGUAUUUUGGACUCCUCUUUGCUUUUUUUUUUAAAUUACACUUUUGUUCCUGUAGUGCGGCGUCGGAUGUCGACCCCGGCCAGGCUGCCAGCCAGGGGACGGGCGAGCCUGUCCGCGCUGCUGAAGAUACGGCCCCCCAGACCACAGAGCAGCCUACAGCUGCAGCCGCGCCUGGGAGCACCGAGGGGCUCCCGACCGCGGCACCGACUACGACAGGCAGCCCGACCAGGGCUGAAGAGGCUCCCACAGCUGGCUCCGCAGAAGAGGAGGGAAGAUCCCCGACCCCUCCUCCUGCCGGGGGGGAGUGAAGUCCCCACGCCGCCCCGAGCAGGAACCUCUUCGGCUGCAGGCUCCGCAGGUCUGGUCCGAGGGCCAGUAAUGCCUGGGACCACCACCGGGGGUGACGCAGCGCAGGAGGAGGAAACCCGGGCGGCCUCCGAUGACGAGGUGGAAGAGAUUGAGGGUCGUCCCCGUGAUGGCCGCCAACACGUGUAUGUGUGGCGCCAACGCGGGGAUCACUUUAUCGGGCAUGAGGAGCUCGCCGAGACCGAGGAGGCCGCCAGGGUGGAGCGUGCGGCCAAGCGCCUCGUCGACGAAGUCAAGGUAAGCGACUUUUUGUACUGCUGUACAUUCUAUGCCUUGUCUUGCAUGGUCGUUAUAUGCUCGCUUUGUAGGGCGCGAUGAAAACGGCAAAGUACCGGAAACGGUGCUUUGACCAGAUAGAAGGCGUCGUGGCCGAGAACAAGGCCCUUGCCGUGGAGGUAGACCGGCUGCGGUCAGAAGUCGGGGAGAUGGUGGCCGAGAUGAGUGCCCAAGAGGAGCGUCGUCUCGACCUCACUCGUCGCUUGGCCGACCAGUACGGCAGCGAGAAGGUUAGUCACACGCUCCGAGCAGCUUUGCGUACUUGUGUAGUUUGCUUUACUGACCAGUUUAUGAUUCACGCAGACUUGGAGGAGGAGGUGGCGCGCCUCCGACAAGAGAAGGAGCAGCUCAGCCAACAGCUCGCCGGUGCGCUGGAGUCCGGGCGGCGAGCGGGAGAGGAAUUGGGUCGAAAGGACCGGGAAUUAUCUGGUAAUGGGUGCCGCCUUGUUAGCUGCUGCUUGUCGCCCCUUUGUUUGUUUGGUAUGCCAAAAAUAACGCUUUGCUUCGUUUGCAGUGCUCAAGGUGAACGCCAAGAAGCACCUGGAUGAUCUGAUCAAGGACCGGGACUCCUGGAAGGUCAACUGUUGCAGGAUCUGGAAAGGAGUGUCCCCAGUCCUAGACCUGAUCAGUCCCGAGCUCCCGGAGAGCCAGCCCCGCGCCGCCGCAGUUGACCCCGGUCGAGAAGGCGCAACGGGCGUGGGACUGGCUCCAGCAGUUCGUGAAGGACGCCGGGGAGUUUGCCGGCGCGCACGUCCUCAGCAUGGUGCGCGCCCACUACCCACUGGUCGACUUGAGCAGGCUGGAGAAGGGGUACCCGAAGGAGGUCGGCCCACAGGAAGCGGACGAGCUUCGGGGUAGUCUGCUGGACUUGUCGUCGACAGUGAUCGGCGACAUCAAUCUGUGCGGAACGGCCACUCCCCCAGACCAGCCGAGUUCAGAUAGGUCGGCCAGGGAGUUGUCGGGCGCGUCCGUUGCGGGAGAUGGGCGGUCGACGCCUGCGGUCUCGACCAGCCAGGCGCCGGUGGCCCCGACCCCUUCGUCCGGGCAGCAGGGCCAGGCGGGUGAUCAGCCCGAGCAGCUAGGCCAAUAGAGUAGUCUGUAGGAAUAGACUAGUGUCUGCCCGUCAGGGUAUUUAUUGUAAACUUUGUAUGUAAAGUUUGUAAUAAAGUUUGCUUUUUGUCAUGACUGUUGUUUUGAGCGCUGUAAUAAUAUCUGAGUGACGUGUCACCGUAUUCGUCUUGGUAGUCGUUAAGAGCAUCCAUUGCAGGCGUUUUGCCGAGUGCUGUGUGCGACAAGGUAUAGGCAAAAAAUAGAGAAUUUCAUUAUCAACAAUUAUAAGAUACUUACAAAGGAAAGUUAUUAAAACUUUAUGGAUAGAAACGUCGCAGUUUGUCUAUGUGCCAAGAGUUAGGCACUCGUGUUCCGUCUGGGUAUGCCAAUCUGUAGGACGUAGGUCGUGUGACCUCAGUCACCACGAAGGGUCCUUCCCAGGGAGUGGAUAGCUUGUGCAUUCCCUCCUGGCUUGUUUUCCAUCGAAGUACCAGAUCGCCGACCAUGAAGGAACGGUCCUUGACGUUCCUGUUGUAGUAUCGCCUGACUGCCGCGAGAUAUUUUGCUGUUCGGAGACAAGAAUCUAAACGCUUUUCCUCCAUGCAAUUGAUUUCGAGUUCUCUGGCGUUGUCAGCGGUCGCCUGGUCGAAGUGUUCGAUUCUAGGAGAUCCGAAGUGUAUGUCAGACGGCAGGACCGCCUCUGCACCGUACACCAUGAAGUAGGGAGACACCCCUGUGUUUCGACUGGUCUGAGUUCGGAGGCCCCAGACCACUGCUGGCAAUUCUUUCAUCCAUCGACCGGGUGCUCUGUCGUUUUCGGUGUACAACCUUUUCUUUAGGGCGUCAACGAUCAUUCCGUUAGCAUGUUCAACUUGACCGUUGGCAUGUGGAUGUGCCACUGACACGUAUUUUAUGACUAUGCCUCUGUCAUCGCAGAAGUCCCAAAAAGUGGUGCCAGUAAAUUGAGUGCCCAGGUCGGUGAUUAUGCUGUUCGGGAUGCCGAAUCUGUGUAUGAUUUGAUUGAGGAACUCCACAGCCUUCUCGGAGGUUGCCUUGACCAGAGGCAUGUAUUCAAUCCACUUGGAGAACUUGUCGAUUAACACGAAAACAAACUUGAAAUUGCCCGGGGCUGGUUUAAAUGGCCCGAUCAUGUCGAGCCCCCAGCAAGCAAAGGGCCAAGACGACGGGAUGUUUUGAAUUUCGUGGGCAGGUACGUGGGUCCUCUUAGCGAAAAACUGACAUCCUUCGCAAUGUCGAACCAGUUUUUCUGCGUCGCCGACCGCGGUUGGCCAAUAAAAACCUGCUCGGAAAGCCUUUCCGACCAGCGUUCUGGAUGCGGCGUGAUUGCCGCAGGAUCCAGCAUGUAUGUCCUCUAAGAGCUUGAUACCAUCAUCUUGGGGUAUGCACUUGAGCAGUACUUCGGAGCUUGCGUUUUUCCGCAUGAGUUUGCCGUCGACCAGGAUGUAGUUCUUUGAUCGUCGAAUGAGGCGCUCGUUCUCUAUUUUGUCCUGAAGGCCUGUCCCGUCCGAUAUGUAUUUGAUGAACGGGGUACGCCAGUCACGCCCACCGGUUGUCGGAGUGGCGUCGUCUAUGAGCAUUGCCUCGGUGGGUUGCUUGUCGACCAGGGAGGAGCCUACGCUCGGCUCGUGGAUGUCCUGGACGAAAAUACCCCGCGGGAUCUGGGUCCGAGAUGAGCCUAACUUCGACAACGCAUCUGCUGCUUGGUUCUUAUCCAGGACCACGUGGAUGUACUCUAUGCCGUAGAAGUUGGUUUCCCAUUUGCGAAUUUCUUUGCAGUAGAGAUCCAUCUUCUCGUGGGUUGCGUCCCACUCCUUGUUGAGCUGGUUGAUGACCAAAGCGGAGUCGCCAUAGACAUAGAGUCGCUUGAUUCCCAGCUCAACGGCUAGUCUUAUGCCAUGCAAGCAUGCUUCGUAUUCGGCGACGUUGUUUGACGCCGGAAAAAGGAUCCGAAGGACGUAACGCAGUUUGUCCUUGUUGGGUGAUACGAACAGUAUCCCAGCGUCGGCACCGUUGAUGUUCAAGGACCCGUCAAAGAACAUUGACCAGUGGUCUGAGACAUCGGGAACGGGAGGCUCAUUGAGAUCCGUCCAUUCAGCAAUGAAAUCGACCAGGGCCUGAGACUUGACCGUAGUUCGGCUAUGGAACUCCAGGGAAAAUGGGCACAAUUCCAUCGCCCAUUUCACGAUUCUGCCAUUGGCGUCUUUAUUGCGCAGGAUGUCCCCGAGAGGGAAACUGGUUGUCACCAGGACUCGAUGGCCGUCGAAGUAGUGCUUCAGCUUUCUUGACGUUAUCAGAAUGGCGUAUAUAAGCUUCUGUAUUUGUGGAUACCUGGCCUUGGACUCGUUUAAGACUUCACUUAUGAAGUAAACGGGUCUCUGGACCUUGUAGGCGUGACCUGGUUCAUCUCGCUCGACCACUAUUGCCGUGGAAACAACCCUGUCGGUUGCAGCAAUGUAAAGAAGUAGGUCUUCAUUGGGCUGAGGCGCUGUGAGGACAGGUGGUGAAGUGAGGAAGGUCUUAAGCUGAGUGAACGCAGCGUCGGCUUCCUCUGUCCAAGAAAAUUUUUCUGACGCUUUCAAUAGUUUGAAGAAAGGGAGGCCUUUUUCUCCCAGCCUUGAGAUGAAACGACUGAGGGCGGCCAUACAUCCGGUUAGCUUCUGAAUAUUCUUGACGUUCUUCGGUGGUCGCAUGUCGAGUACGGCUUUGACUUUUGAAGGGUUUGGUCGUAUGCCGUCGCAACUGACGACGUUGCCGAGCAGUAGACCGGAAGGAACGCCGAAAAUGCACUUCUUGGGGUUGAGCUUCCACUUGUACCUAUUGAGCGCCUUGAAAGUUCGGUCUAAGUUGUCGAUUAGGGUGCUCGCGUCCCUUGUUUUUACGACCACGUCGUCUACAUAGGCCUCGACGAGGUCAUCGCGAAUCUCGUCGUGGAGGCAUUGCUGGAUGGCCCGUUGAUAAGUGGCUCCGGCAUUUUUGAGUCCGAAAGACGUGGUCGUGUAGCAGUAUGCGCCGUAAGGUGUAAUAAAAGACGUUUUGAUAUGAUCUUCUUCCUUUAGCGAGAUCUGGUGAUAACCAGAGUAGCAGUCUAGAAAGGAGAGGAGUUCGCAUCCGGCCGUUGAGUCGACCACCUCGUCGAUGCGAGGGAGACCAAAAGGAUCUUUAGGACAGUGUUUAUUGAGAUCAGUGUAAUCAACGCACAUUCUCCAUUCAUUAUUCUUUUUGCGUACAAGAACCGGAUUGGCGAGCCAAUCGGGGUGAUACACUUCUUUUAUGAAUCCGGCUGCUAGAAGCCGUGUUAUUUCUGUCCUAAUAGCCUCCUUUUUGUCAUGAGCGAACCGUCGCAGUUUUUGCUUGAUUGGUCUUGCGGUCUUCGAGACAUUUAAGGAGUGCUCGAUCAGGUUUCGUGGGACACCGGGCAUGUCUGCGGGUUUCCAUGCGAAAACGCUCACGUUGUCCCUUAGAAACCUGACGAGCGCGUCUUCCUAUUUUGGAUCCAGGUUGGCCCCGAUGAGGGCUGUCUUCUCGGGGCUGCCUUCGACCAGCUGCACUUCUUUGUACUCCUUGGAUUUUGAGUUCUUCCUGGCUGUCGCCUGUUCGGGUAGUCGGAGCUGGUCGGGAGGCAGCUGUGCGGCUUGGUUUGCUGUUUCUGCCAUGCGGAUUGAGAGGUCGAUUGCCUCGGUGAUCUUGAAGCUUUCUUCUUCGCAGGUGUACGCAGUGUAGACGUUGCCUCUGACGGUUAGGACACCCUUCUCCGUGGGCAUCUUAAGGACUAGGUAUGAGUAGUGCGGGACUGCCAUGAACUUUGUCAGCGAUGGUCGGCCCAGUAUGGCAUGAUAGGUCCCGUCGAAAUCCGCGACUACGAAGUUGAUGAACUCCGUCUGGAAGUGGUCGAGUGUGCCGAAUUGGACAGGCAAUGUUAUCUGUCCGAGAGGCACUGAACUUUGACCUGGCAAAACCCCCCAGAAUUGGGCGUCGUAAGGUUUUAGUUGUGCAGGAGAUAUCUUGAGGGCGGGCAGGCUGUUGCGAAAGAGGAUGUCAAUGGAGCUUCCCCCGUCCACGAGCACGCGCUCGAAUCUGAUGCUGUUGAUGCAAGGGUCCAGAAUCAGGGGAAAACGACCCGGCUCUGGGAUAGCGGCCCACUGGUCCUUCCUGCUGAACGAGAUCUCCCUGUGGGACCACGGGGGGAAUUUUGGGUCUGUGAUCAGCCCGUCCGUGCUGUCUAUGUUGAGGCAAGCUCUCUUUAACAGCUUUCUUUCUCGCUUAGAUUCAAUGGAGACCUUGCCCUCGAAAAUGGAGUGGACCACGUCAGUGGGGCUGACGUACUGGUGUCGGGGGUCCCUAUCUUGGUCCUCGUCCUCAUCUUCGUGGUCGUGCCCGUCGCGCUUGUUAUUUUUCUUGGCGGAGUCGUCUUGGGCGGCCCGCCGUGUAUAGAUACUUUUGAGGACGCGGCACUCUUCCAUGGUAUGAUUGGACUUUGGAUGUAGUUGGCAUGGUCCCUUCAACGUUUUGUUGUAGUCUUCUUGGUAGUCCCGUCGUCCAUUGGGACGUUUGACCGUAUUUACUUCGUGGUCGUAGUCGUGAGGGCGCUUUCCUCUGAAGUCGUGGUGGCUGUCGCGCCGCCGAUCCCAACCCUCUCGGUGAUCGCGGUUGUCAGAGCGGCGGUGGUUUCUGCUGUCGUAGCGACCACGACCGUCAUCUCGCCGGGGAGGCUGGUCGGGACCUCUCGCAUCGUCUCGGAUUAGUUUUUCUGCGUCAUCGGCAUCGGCGUAAUUUUUGGCCGUGGCGAGGAGCUCUGCUACCGUUGUUGGACGUUUACGCAACAUCUUGUUCCUCAGCGCUUCGUGGAAACGCAGGCCCUUGAUGAAGGCUGAGAUGGCCUCGUCAUGGGAAAUCUUCAGGAUUUUGAGGCGCAUAUCCGAGAAUCGUCGGAUGUAAUCGCGCAGAGGUUCGUUCUUCCUGUCCCUUAUCCUUUCAAGGUCAUACUUGUUUCCAGGCUGCUCGCAUGUGGCGAUGAAGUUGUCGAUGAAAGCCUGGCGUAGCUCUUCCCAAGAGUCGAAGGAGUCCUCGGGCAAGCCGAGAAGCCACUGAUGACCAGCCUGGUCGAGGACUACGGGGAAGUAGUUAGCCAUGACGUGCUCAUCCCCUGCCGCUGAUCGGACGGCGAUUUCAUAGAGGGUGAUCCAGUUCUCUGGAUUUUCCUUGCCGUCGUAUUUUUUAAGUUUUUCGAGCUUGAAAUUGCGGGGCCACACGACCUAGCGGAGGUGUGAGGAGAACUGUCUUAGGCCCGGAGGACCGUGCGUUGCAUCGUACUCGAUGCGGCGCAGGUUUUUGUGGACUGCUCUCUCUGCGGCGCGCCUGUUGAUGCGGUCCCGGGCAUCUUUGGGAGGGAUGUUGUGGCGGAGAUCCCUGUGCUGAUUUACUUCUUGGCCGCGUACGCGGUUCUGCUUGCGGCGACCGUCGGCGUCCCGACCACCAUCGUCGCGCCAUGAGUCCCCUCGACGGUUGUCGGGGGAGCGGCUGCGGUGACGCCUGCUGGGUGAGGCCCGGCUUCGAUUAGUCUGGUCGGAGGCGGCUUCCGUAUAAGAGACGUCCUGGACUCUCUUGAGCAGAGUGGCUGUCUGUCCCAUUGCAGCGAUCAGGUGUGCUCGGAUGCUGGUCCGGACUCCCUGGCAUUCGGGGGUAUCAGGAAGCCGAUCUAGGUUAGCCAUGGCGACAGCCACGUUGGCGCUUGGCGUUUUGUAGACUGGCUGGUCCCCGACCAUGUCAAAGGCAUCAUUGAGAUUAUUUGGUGGCAUUUGUUGUUGCUCGUCUGCGCGUCGUCGGGCGCGAUCGGCGUUACGCUGUUCGCGGAGUUGCCUCUGGUCAUCUGUUUCUCCAUCAACGACCGGUUCGUCGGCGCUGACAUUGAACACAAUAUCCCCUCGCCGGGGGGGGAAUAUCGGGAAUCGGUUGAAACCUGGAGGGUGUGAAGGAAAAUCCAGGUCGUAGUCCUCGUCUUCGGUGUUUAUAACCUCGGUGGGGACGGAACCGGUGCUUGAGUUGGUGCUGGAAACCUGGCCGUCCCGUAGUUCUCGGAUUGUCACCAUGUUGACGUAGUGACGAUUGUUCCUUGUCGGCGACCAACCCGCCUUGCUGAAAACUGAUUGGGUGUGCUGUGAGUAAACAGAGACCGAGUUGUUCAGGCCGCAAGGAUAGUCUUCCUUCUUGAGCUCGACGGAUCGUCCUGAGGGUGUUGAGGUUAUCGUCAGAGACGUUCCCAGCCGUUCGUGUGUGGCGACACGAGUUGGCCGGCGGGAUUUGAAAAAAUCCGCUGGAGCAGCUUGGUCGGGCCGACGCAGAACUCCGUCUAUUAGUUGGGAAACUUCGAGUAGCUUGGAGUCAGCGCGAUCAAGCGCUUGGAGAAGGUCCGAGCAGUCGAUCUUCUUUCCCUUGUAGAGUGGGAACGGUGGUCGGGCGCUUGGUGCCGUCACGCAUGUGGUCGGAGACGGCGUGAUCUCAGAUUGGAUCUGGAUCUCUUUCGAAACCGUGGUCGUGAGGCCGCCGCUGCACGUCGUCCACGUGAUCUGGCGGACGGUGAACGUGAGGCCUUCGGGCACGGUCGCGGAAGCUGGGAUCGUGACCAUCUUGUUCGCCGGAAAAGUUGCACGCACACCCCCUACCUGGCGCGCCACUGUCGACGAAAGCUAGUCGGCAGUCUACCUUGGGGUAUACCCACGGUAGUAGUUUAUCGGUAGACGGUGCGCAAACUACGAACUCGAUGGUGACGCAAGACACGGACAAGCUUUUUAUCCAGGUUCGGCCGCCGAGUUGGCGUAAUACCUACGUCCUGCGUCUGGUUGUAUUGAUUUGUGUUGAGAGAAUAUGAUGUGUCCUAGGGGGGUCCCUCGCCCCUCCUUAUAUAGUCUGGAGGGAAGGGUUACAGAUCUGGAAACUAAUCCUAGUCGGUUACAAUUGCCAUGGAUAAUUCGAUAUCAAUUCCUAUUCUAACCGACUAGAAUCCUGCUUGAUCUCCAUAUCUUGUUUCCUUGCGCGAAACUCCAGGUUGUCGGAUCAAGCCUUGAACUCGUCUCGUAAUGGGCCAAGCCUCCUGGCCGAAGUCUAGCCGUAAGGGUAUAGGGGUUUAUACCCCCACAAAGGCCGAAAUAACCAAACUCAUCGAAGCUAAAUUUAUUCGGCAGUGUCGGUAUGCCGAGUGGAUUUCCAAUGUUGUUCCAGUUUACAAGAAAAAUGGGAAGCUUCGGGUUUGCAUUGAUUUUAGGAAUCUUAAUAAAGCUACGCCGAUGGAUGGUUAUCCAAUGCCGGUUGCCGAUCUACUGGUUGAUGCUGCGGCUGGACAUCGGAUCAUCAGCUUUAUGGAUGGUAAUGCAGGAUACAAUCAAAUAUUCAUUGCUGAAGAGGAUAUUCUAAAGACUGCAUUUAGAUGUUCUGGUCAUGUUGGGCUGUUUGAGUGGAUAGUCAUGACCUUUGGCUUGAAAAAUGCUGGUGCUACUUAUCAAGGGGCCAUGAAUUUUAUCUUUCAUGAGUUCAUCGGCAAGCUAGUGGAGAUUUAUAUUGAUGAUGUGGUGGUUAAAUCUGGGGAUUUCACGAAGCAUCUUGCCAAUUUGCGAAAGGUGUUGGAAUGCACAAGAAAAUAUGGUUUAAAGAUGAAUCCCAAUAAGUGUGCAUUUGGAGUAUCGGCAGGACAGUUUCUUGGUUUCAUGGUGCAUCAGAGGGGAAUUGAAAUUAGUAGACAAUCUAUUGAUGCUAUCAACAAAAUUGUUGCCCCUACUAACAAGAUUGAACUUCAAUCCUUGAUCGGCAAGGUAAAUUUUAUCAGGCGGUUUAUAUCUAAUUUAUCUGGUAAAAUUUGUGCUUUCAGUCCUUUGCUUAAAUUGAAAGCCGAUCAAGAAAUUAUAUGGGGGAAAGAGCAACAGUUGGUUCUAGAUGAAAUCAAGAGUUAUUUGGUGAAUCCUCUAGUUUUGAUUCCACCUCAGCAAGGGAAGCCCUUCAGAUUAUAUUUAUCUACUGAUAGGAUGGUCAUCGGUUCGGCUUUAAUUCAAGAAUUUGAAGGGAAGGAACGUGUGAUUUAUUAUUUGAGAAGAAGGUUGAUUGAUGCUGAGAUCAGGUAUUCGGCCAUUGGAAAACUAUGUUUGUGUCUAUAUUUCUCAUGUAUUAAGUUGAGGCACUAUUUGUUAUCGGCUGAAUGCACUGUUAUAUGCAAAGAUGACGUGGUCCGAUAUAUGCUGUCUAUGCCGAUUAUGAGUGGUAGGAUCGGUAAGUGGAUUUUGGCACUGUCAGAAUUUGAUCUGCGUUACGAAUCGGCUAAAGCAGUUAAAGGACAGGUUAUGGCCGAUUUCGUGACUCAACAUUGCGGGGCAGUGGAGACUUUGGAAAUUGUGCCUUGGACACUCUUCUUUGAUGGAUCCACGUGUGACCGGGGGGCAGGAAUCGGCAUGGUGUUAAUUUCCCCUCGGGGAAGGAAAUAUGAGUUUUCUUUGUCGAUUAUUGCUACAUCAACAAAUAAUCAAGCCGAGUAUCAAUCUUUGAUAAAGGGGUUGGAAUUAUUGAGAGAAGUCCAUGCUGACGCUGUUGAAGUCUUCGGAGAUUCUAUGCUGGUUAUAAAUCAAUUGGUUGAAAGUUAUGAAUGCCGGAGCGAAGUCUUGAUAGCUUACUAUGAAAAAAGCAUGCGACUAUAAAAGGAAUUCAAAGAAUUCCGAUUAGAGUAUAUUCCUCGGUUGAAAGUUAUGAAUGCCGGAGCUAACUGGUUGGCUCAGCAUGCUUCAAGGUAUCAGCCUAUGGUUAAUACGUUAUCGGCAAUCGGUGCCGAUGAUUGGAGGAAAGAGAUCGUUGAUUAUCUAAAGGAUCCAUCCAAGAAAGUUGAAAGGCGUGUUCGAUUUUAGGCUACCAAAUAUGGGCUCCUCGAGGAUGAGCUAUAUUAUCGGACAAUCGAUGGAGUUCUUCUCAAAUGCUUAGGUAAUGAUGAAGCCAAGAGUUUGAUGGGAGAGAUCCAUGAAGGGGUGUGUGGAGCACAUCAGUCGGCAUUUAAGAUGAAGUGGAUGAUCAAGAGAAAUGUGUAUUAUUGGCCGACUAUACUUGAGGAUUGUUGUUGACGGUCCUUAAUGCUCAUAUUUAACCAUUAAUUAAUCAUGGAAAAGGAUCCAAAUGCAACCAACACCUAGACUUAGGGUUUUAUCUGACAGAAUUCCACGAGUUUUGGUGUUUGUGUAUUUCUGCAGGGGGUUAUCAAGAAAUAUGGAAGAAAGGCCCACACGUCGGGUUUACAUAGAGAUAUUAACGUGCCGCGCAAUUUUCUACCAUCUAGAAGACUCCAGAAGCCACGGGAACGAACGGGAGACGUAACGGAGCCGGGCACUGGGCGCCCGCCCUCCCUUACUGGGCGCCCGCCCUGCCCCUGGACCAAACAGAGUCCAAUUCGGGGACAACACUCCACCGACCUAAUACUUCAAGGAAAACCACACAAUCAAUGUCGGUUUGAUCCGACGGCCCAGAUUCACUUGAAGGGACUAUAAAACCAGACCCCCUGGCCUCUGGAGAUCAUACCUCUUCUACAGAAUCAAAGCUAGGGUUUCAAUUCUUCAUCCAAGUAGAGAGGAUCCCUUUAGUUCUUCUAGUUCUACCUCUAGUUCAUCUAGAUCUAGUUCUAGUUCAUCUAGUUCUAGUUCUAGUUCCUCUAGUUCUAGUUCUAGUUGUAAUAUAGAAAAUAGGGAGAGAGAAGAGGAGAGCGGAGGAGGAGCCGGAUCUGUCGGAUCUUCCUCAACAUUAUACUUUUGCAGCAUCUGGUUCGUUCUUCAUCGUUCUCCAGGUUCUUCAAUUCAUAAUUCCUGAGUUCUUUAAUUACUUUUAUUUACAUUCAAGUUAUUUAUUAGAUUCCCGCUUGUAUCAAGUGCUCUAGUAUUUAUAACGCUAGAGUAGUAAUUAAUAGAUUAGACAUGGUGUUUAGUCUUGCAAUUACCUAGAAGUGCACCCAAUCCUGCGGAUUGUUGUGGUAGCCUUAGGGUAGUGACAGCCCUAACGGUCGAUGUAUUCCACCUCGUUCGGAUCGGUGUUUGUAGGACCGUAGUCAGACAUUCCUAGCCCCCUUCUCAUCUCUUUCUGUGGUUAGUGGUCUGAUGUCCCGAUAUAGAUAAUCUUGAAGUAAUUCUUGAUUCUUAGAUCAACUAGAGAACUCUCAGGAAACUUCCUCUCUUCCCACCAAAAAUAAUUAUAUAGUUAUCCUUGGGCGAUCUUGGAUCUUAAUUAGUACACUCACGUUCCCUGUGGAAAAUCGAUACUCUGGAAUACUCCCAGGUGAAAGCUACAUCGGUAUCCGUGCGCUUGCGGAUUUUUCUGUUUGCGUUUAAAAUACCCAACAAGCUUUUUGGCGCCGUUGCCGGGGAACGGUAGCUGUGCUAGUUUCGAACCAAGUCGUCCGUGUAUCCUUUUUCUUUUCCUUUUUUACCGUACUCACCUUAUCAUUUUCACCAUACCACAUGGAUUUCACUCUAAGCAUUAAUGAGCAUGGAAUUUAUUUCAUAGCCAUUUCAUUUACUCCGUACUCAUAUGCAACAUCUUCACAAUCCAUUGGUCUCUCCAACAUCGCCACAUUCGAGAUCUCCAACCCCAACUUCCUUUCUAUUUAUAAAAACUUUAAAAGGGCGGUUGUCGAUGCAUAUGUCUAUAAUAAAUUUUGCAGAUCUCGUUGAGUUGAUCUUGAUGUAGGUCAGCGUUGGAGGGGAAACCACUUCGCUGACAUAAAUUAAUGGGUUCCCAAGGGCUUUUAAUUAUUUGCAACAUUACCUUGUCUAUUGAGCAUAUAAGGAUAAUUAUAAAAAAAUUCCUUCGGGUAUUCUUGUCACUAACCUUUCUAGGAUUGGAGCAAGAAGAUCGGGUGAAUGACAAGCACAAGGUAUGUACAACCAAUCAUCAUACAACAUUGAAUUAAAUUCAUCCAAACUUGAAUUUUACAAAAUUCAAGCUUGGGGGAGUACUUUAUAUAAAAACAUCCGUUGCCAUGUUGCUAUGUUGGUUGUCCCUACCUUUUAGACAUGCUCAAUUUGUUAAAUACUAAUCACACUACUUCAUCUCCACUUGAGUAGAUCUCUAUAAAAGCUCUCAUGGUACCUUUAUUUGCUUUAGUAUAUGUCUAGGUUGGAGUAGUUUCAUUUAUCUCUUAAUUAAGCAUGGUGCUUAGUUUAGGAAUGAUGAUCUUACUUCCAAAGGAUUUUAAAUUAAGCAUGAUGCUUAGGUUAAAAUUCCCUCCUAAAUCAAAUUAGACAUGGUGUCUAGGUUGAUCUUUGAGCCGAUAGUAUGCUAUAGUAGAUAUUGGAUAUUUUGUUGGCCUAACCCCUGUAGGAAAACUUUCAAUAUCGACCUGGGAAGUCCUGAGAUAAACUCACAUUGGAGACAAAGAGAGAGACACAUGAAGUUUAACAAUUUGCACGAGGAAGGCAUAGCUCACAAGAGAUGAUCCAUGGAGGGUGCCACAAACACGAUACACAACCGCUAAGAGAGGAAAGCUUCCACAAGGUGAUACUAUACCAUCACUCUUCAAGUAAGGUAAUAUCUUAAGGUACUUGACUAUCACUUUUAUAAGUUUCUCCUUGGUUCUGGCAUUCACAUGAAUAAAAGAGACAAACAUGUAUGAUUUACAAUUCUAGAUUAACCAAGCCAAACGAUUCAAUAUGUUUAGUCCUUUCACCUUUGUGAUCCCACACUAAAUGUUGCACACACAAUCUUUGGAAGAUAUAUAUAAAAAAAUAGAUAAGUAUAGAUAGAUUAUCUUUCCAUUAGGUUGAGUGAUCUGAUCUGACGAAUGUUUUAAAUGCUACACUCAUGAUCUUAUUAUCCAUCAACUUUGUCUUGCUCACUAUGCUUAAGGUUAGAGAAGAACAAAUACACUUUUGGUUCUGUUGGUGUUUUCCACCAACAGGGCCCAUGCACUUGAUCUCUGCCUUGUCUAUAUGAGUAGGUACACUUCGAGCAAAAUAUGAAGGAGUUUUACAACUCCCAGACUCCACCAAGUGAAGAACCUAGAUCUACGAGCACAAACACACUGGAGAUACUAGACACUCAGGCAAUCGCUGCCCUGAGAUGCUUGAGGACGUAACUACUGGAGUAACCCCGUUGUGGAAGUAAUUACUGACCUUCUGCCGGUCAAGAGAGACGAUCCAGGACGUCCCGUCAUCCCGAUCUCCAUCGGCAUGGUGAACUUCCUAGAAGCACUCUGUGACUUUGGCUCCAGCGUCAACAUUAUGCUCAGGGUACUUUAUGAAAAAUUCUUUACACACCCUUUCCUAGAGACAACCAUGUGUUUGCAGCUUGCACAUCGGACACUAAGUUUCCCAAAGGGAAUAGUGAAGAACCUCUACGUCCGAGUUGGUACCUUGUACGCCCCAGCAGACUUCGUGGUGAUAGAGACUGGUACUGAUGAGAGGGCACCCAUCAUCCUAGGGAGGCCAUUCCUGAACACCUCGGGAGCUAUCAUCUACGCUAGUGCUGCCAAGAUCAGUUUCUACAUCAAGGGGAGGAAGGAGACGUUUUCCUUUAAGAACAAGACUACACAAGUCUCAGAGCAAUCCCGACACGAACCAAGGAAGGGGACCAAUAGGAGGAAUAGAAACAAGCAAAUGUGGACCGAGUCAGCUAAGAUGGUCACUGCAGUUCAAGGAGGUCAAGAUCAUCUAUUUAAGUCACCGUUCCUGACCAAAAAGGACGACCCAGGCAUGCCAAGCAUCCAGUGCUCCAUUAAUGGAUACAACUUCCAGAAGACGCUUUGCGACACCGGGUCAGGCAUCAACAUAAUGGCCGCAGUCACCUAUCAACUCCUGUUCGGAACCAUACCCCUAAAACCGACAUACAUUUAGCUCCAAAUGGAAGAUCAGACAUUCUGAAAGAUUGAAGGUUAUUGACAUGGGAGAAGACGAGUACGAUCCACCCAUCAUCCUUGGAAGACAGUUCCUCAGCACCGUUAAAACAAUCAUCUACAUUGGAACCGGAGAAGUCCACAUGCACUUCCCCUCUGAGAAGGUACGCCGCUAUUUUACUGACCCUAACUAUAUAGUUGAAGACUUUAAGCAGGUCAGGACAAGAAGAAGAAGAUGCAACCGCAACCAGAGAAGGAAAAAUCAUCAAGGACGGAUGGGCAGACUAUGAAGGAGAAGUGGUAAAGUCUGAAGACAUACAACUUGAACAAAACUAUCCUGAGGAGACCGUAGCACCGAGUCAGGUGUGGAGAGAAAAGAUAGUUAUACACGAAGAGGAAGCACCGUCGGAACCACCGACUACGCCAUCCAGCGAAUCCCAGAAUGACUCAGGAAACGGAGAGUCCCGUUCGGAGGACUUAAAAACACCGAACGCCUUACCAAGAGGUAAACUUGGUAGUUAUCUUUUUUCUUUCAAUUAUUUAAAAUAGUUUGCUUAGUUAAUCAGGUUCACAUCAUCUUGAAAAGAAAAUAAAAAUGUUGAAGAUAGUAAGCCCCAUGUGAGUAUGCUCAUGGCAUAAAACCCAUAAGUACAUUCACUGUGGUGGCAUAAAAAUGAAAUAAAUAUAUUCCUGUCCUAUAAAAAUAAAAUUAUAAAAAUAAAAUUAUGAUCCUACUAAUGAGUAACAUUUAUUGAGGAGGCUCAACAUGAUAAAGGCUAGAUAUUUAUGCUAACACUUAACUAGUUCCACAAAGCUUUGUUGUCUAUUUGAGCUCCACAGAAUUCAAGGAUCAAAGAAUACUAGCAGAUGGAGGACAUCCUAAUCGCUGUCAGAGUGCUGCCGACAUUCAAAUACACCUCCGCCACCUGCUAGCCACAUCAGAAGAAAUUAUGUCGAAAUCCAGCUUGGGGGAGAGCAACCCCAUUUAUCCAGGUAAGUGCUCUACUCAUGUUUAUACUUUACUUAAAUAAUAAAAAAGAUGCACAAUCAUAAAAACCCAAAUAAAGAUUUUGUGCUUAUAUAUAUAUCUUUGCUUAGUUUGCUAAAUAAAUAAAUAAAUAAAAUUUGCUAUGAACCCUCAUGAUAAGCUCUCACAUGGAAAGAUGAAUAGUUGCUCUGCCAUGACUAGUUCUCAAAAUUGAGAUCUCUUUCAAGUUUAGGCAUCACUGUUAUUAAUUAAGAUUUGCUCUAAACCUGAACUUGUGGGAAGAGUACUUGAUCUGAAGUCUAAGUCGUUAACGGAUAUGAUAUGGGAAGGUUGAGCUGCUGUUUAUCUGUUCCUAGAGAUGCUAGAAUUCUGGAGAAUUUUAUCAUUGAAAAUCAUUAAAAUGUUGCAUGAUGAGUUCCUGUAUGAUGAGAGUUUAAAUUCCUACCACAGCCAUAUAUACAUGCUUGCUAGACUAUGAACCACACAUUUACUUUACUACUUAUGAGCAUUGAGUGUGGUCAAGCUGUGUAGACCCUUAGGAGCUUGUCAUGUGGUUAAAUCAAGAUUCACUUGCACGUUCACUCACACAUGCUGCUUCUACUCCGGAAGUACGCAUCCACAUAUAUCCACCCAUCUCCAUCUCCAGAACCACCCAAAAAUAUUCUACUCCUAAUCCGGGAGAGAAUAGCCAAAAAUAUUUCUGUUUUUCCCUGUGAAAUAAAUGCUCAAGUUAUCUUGUUACUACCACUUGCUAUAUUAUCUCAUGAGAUGAGUGCUCUAAUAAAAAAAAAGAAGAAAAAAAAUACGAGGAAAUAAAAAGGGGCAAGUGCCCGGAACCUCGAAAGAAAAAAAAAGUGAGACGAGAGGUAAAAAUGGACAAGUGUCCGACAGUAGAAUUAGGGGUACAAGAUACUCACCUGAGAGAAAAGAAAAAGAAAGUAUAGAGCAUCUCAUUCUCCUCAAAAAGUUUCAAAAGAGCAAGAAAGGUAUGUAUCCCCUCAAAAGAGCAUAAGUAGAAUUAGACUUUCACCAUUGUUAUCACCAUCAUCACCAUACACCAUUCAUUCGCCACACAUGCACAUCUUGAUUUGACUUAUUGACUUGUUCUUCUGGAUCCAUGGUUUGACUAUGCAAUAUAUGUCUUGUAAGUAUGUAUUAGCUGUCUCCCACCUAUGAGCUCCAGAUAUCAAAACCUUAUUAGAGUAGGGUGAGAAAGAAGGCAAUGUCACUAUGCCUCAUACCAAAAAUACCACAUACUUUGAGAGAAGGCAUACACCAUUACUGCCUUGGUAAGGAUCCAGAAAUACCACAAAAGAGAGACUAGAGAGAGUCAUACAAGGAAUCUCUGAGUUUUAUUUGAAAAUCUGCAAAAACUCCAGAGCUAUAGUUAAUCGAAGAACAAGAGACAUGGCGCUUGACUAGACUGUUCUAUCUUUUAACUACUCAAGACAAAAGUGACGGUUACAAGUCCCAUGGUGAAAGGUAAAUGAGUAAGUUUUAAGUCUUAAUAGUUUACUCUAACCAGAGAUGAGAUCUUGUUUAAAUGCAUGUGUAUCUUUAAGUUAUGAAACCACUGCAGAAACUCUUGAGUUCAUCUUUGCUCAGGGACGAGCAAAGGUUAAGCUUGGGGGAGCUUGUUGAUGGUCCUUAAUGCUCAUCUUUAACCAUCAAUUAAUCAUGGAAAAGGAUCCAAAUGCAACCAACACCUAGACUUAGGGUUUUAUCUGACAGAAUUCCACGAGUUUUGGUGUUUGUGUAUUUCUGCAGGGGGUUAUCAAGAAAUAUGGAAGAAAGGCCCACACGUCGGGUUUACAUAGAGAUAUUAACGUGCCGCGCAAUUUUCUACCAUCUAGAAGACUCCAGAAGCCACGGGAACGAACGGGAGACGUAACGGAGCCGGGCACUGGGCGCCUGCCCUCCCCCCUGGACCAAACGGAGUCCAAUUCGGGGACAACACUCCACCGACCUAAUACUUCAAGGAAAACCACACGAUCAAUGUCGGUUUGAUCCGACGGCCCAGAUUCACUUGAAGGGACUAUAAAACCAGACCCCCUGGCCUCUGGAGAUCAUACCUCUUCUAUAGAAUCAAAGCUAGGGUUUCAAUUCUUCAUCCAAGUAGAGAGGAUCCCUCUAGUUCUUCUAGUUCUACCUCUAGUUCAUCUAGAUCUAGUUCUAGUUCAUCUAGUUCUAGUUCCUCUAGUUCUAGUUCUAGUUAGUUCUAGUUGUAAUAUAGAAAAUAGGGAGAGAGAAGAGGAGAGCGGAGGAGGAGCCGGAUCUGUCGGAUCUUCCUCAACAUUAUACUUUUGC